CCGGAUAAUUAAGCUACAGUAAUUCUCUCCUAAUGAUGCCACGUCACUUCGAUUAUUGGCGCUAAUCUCGUGUUAGUUCAAAAACGAUUCAAAUUCAAAUUCAAAAUCAAACAAACAAUAAAAGUUUUCAAAUAAUAAAACCAAAAUGUUCGGAGUGUGCCAAUUAAUGCCUAGGUAUUAUGGUGAAGGAACCACGCUUCUACAGGAUGUAUAAAUACUUGAAAAUGAAUUAAAACAGAAGAGAAAAUAAACAAAAGGGAAAAGAAUAAAAACAGAAAACAAAACUACAAAAUAAAAAUAAAAGGAGAAGAGGCCCCCUCGCCAACUGGGCCAGACGGCCCAGCUGGCCGACCCGCUGGCCCACUCAGCCGGCCCAGUUGCCUUGGCCUAUAUGUCCUCCCCCCACUAACCCUAGCAACCACCCAGACCACCCCCACUUCUCCCCCCACGAACCCCCAUCUCCCCUCGCUCCUCCCCCUGCCCUCCCGAUCUGGAUCGGGGGCAGACAUCCCCGUCGCCGCCGCCCGUCACCCCGCACCAUGUUGGCGCCCCUUGCGAUGCCACCUCACCAUCGGCUGCCGCCACCCUUCCCGCGCUCCACCGCGCUUGUNNNNNNNNNNNNNNNNNNNNNNNNNNNNNNNNNNNNNNNNNNNNNNNNNNNNNNNNNNNNNNNNNNNNNNNNNNNNNNNNNNNNNNNNNNNNNNNNNNNNNNNNNNNNNNNNNNNNNNNNNNNNNNNNNNNNNNNNNNNNNNNNNNNNNNNNNNNNNNNNNNNNNNNNNNNNNNNNNNNNNNNNNNNNNNNNNNNNNNNNNNNNNNNNNNNNNNNNNNNNNNNNNNNNNNNNNNNNNNNNNNNNNNNNNNNNNNNNNNNNNNNNNNNNNNNNNNNNNNNNNNNNNNNNNNNNNNNNNNNNNNNNNNNNNNNNNNNNNNNNNNNNNNNNNNNNNNNNNNNNNNNNNNNNNNNNNNNNNNNNNNNNNNNNNNNNNNNNNNNNNNNNNNNNNNNNNUGCCCCGCGCCGGCGGCCGUUCUCGCCGGCCCCUGCCAGCCGGCCUGCGCCGGCCACCCCCGAUUUGGUCGCCACCGCGCCCUUGGGUAUGUGCCCAAGAGGGCAAGAGCACGGCGCCCGCUCGAGUCGCCCAGCGCCCACACCCAGUGCCCAAUUGGCCAUGGGCCUAUGACAAGUGGGGCUCGGCCCCAGAACGUGAAUAAAAAAAGAGUUUUAAAAUAAAUAAAUAAAUAAUAAAUGAGAAAAGGUAUAUUAAUUAAUUAAUUAAUUAACUUAAUUAAUUAAAUUAACUUAAUUAAUUAAUGUUUAAUUAACCUAAUUAACUAGUGUUAAUUAACUAAACACUAAUUAGAUUGGUUAAAACCUAAUUAGGCUGAACAGACAAUGACAUGUGGGACCCACACGUCAGGUUGACCAGUCAACCCUGUUGACUGCUGACGUCAUGAUGAUGUCAUCAAAUACUGUUCUAGAUAAUGUUGGAUUAAAUAAAUUAAACAAAUCCUAAAAAUGAUUUUAAUCUUUUAAAAUCAAUAUAAAAUAAACCGUAACUCGGAUGGAAAAACUUUGUACAUGUAAGUUGCUCAGAACGACGAGACGAAUCCGGAUACGCAUCCCGUUCGUUUGCCAUGCAUCCCUAGCAUAGCGAACACGCAACUUUCCCCCUUCGGUCACCUGUCCGAAAACGCGAAACACCGGGAAUACUUUCCUGGAUGUUUUCCCCCUUCACCGGUACCACCUCGUACCGCGUUAGGGAACCCCUAGCACCGAUACUUGUCAUGUCAUGCAUCGCUAUGCAUCUGUUUGCUUAACAUUUAUUGUUUCUUCCCCCUCUUCUCUUGCUAGACACCGAGACCGACGCCGCGCUACCCAGUACGACUACGGUGUUGAUGACCCCUCCUUCUUGCCAGAGCAACCAGGCAAGCCCCCCCCCCCCUUGAUCACCAGAUAUUGCCUACUCUCCUCUAUACUGCUUGCAUUAGAGUACUGUAGCACGUUACUGCUUUUCGUUAAUCCUAUUCUGUUGCAUAUCCUAUCAUUGUUACUACAACUGUUGAUACCUUACCUGCAAGCCUAAAUGCUUAGUAUAGGAUGCUAGUUUACCAUCAGUGGCCCUACAUUCUUGUUCGUCUGCCAUGCUAUACUACUGGGCCGUGAUCACUUCCGGAGGUGAUCACGGGCAUAUGAUAUAUACUUAUACUGUUACAUUACUUAUGAUACUGUUCGGAGAUGGGGGCUGAAGGGGCAGGUGGCUCCAUCCAGGUAGUGGUGGGCUUGAGUUCCCGACGGCCCCCGACUGUUACUUUGAGGCGGAGCGACACGCCAGGUUGUGACCACCUAGGAGAGAGGUGGGCCUGGCCCUGGUCGACAUUCUCGGAUACUUAACACGCUUAAUGAGAUCUUGGUAUUUGAUCUGAGUCUGGCCAUUGUCCUAUACACACUAACCAUCUACGCGGGGACAGUUAUGGGCACUCGAUGUCGUGGUAUCAGCCGAAGCCUUCGUGAUGUCUGCGACUAAGCGGCGCGCGCCGGGUUGGACCGUGUAACGCAAUUUCCUUUGUAAUGGAGGUUGCUAGGUCUGCUCUCCGGUUGCCCUCGCAACAUGCAGGUGUGCAAUGGGCGAUGGGCCCAGACCCCUGCGCCAUAGGAUUUAGACCGGUGUGAUGACCGCUCUGUUGUGCCUAGGUAGGGCUGCGACGUGUUGAUAUUCCGAGGCCGGGCAUGACCCAGGAAAGUGUGUCCGGCCAAAUGGGAUCGAGCGUGUUGGGUUAUGUGGUGCACCCCUGCAGGGAAGUUAAUCUAUUCGAAUAGCCGUGAUCUUCGGUAAUAGGACGACUUGGAGUUGUACCUUGACCUUAUGACAACUAGAACCGGAUAGUUAAUAAAAACGCCCUUCCAAGUGCCAAAUACGACCGGUAAUCGCUCUCUCACAGGGCAAUGAAGGGAGGAUCAUCGGUUAGGAUUAUGCUACACGAUGCUACUUCGUGCACUUACUAUCUACUCUCUUCUUCUGCUGCAAGAUGGAGGUUACCAGAAGCGUAGUCUUCGAAAGGACUAGCUAUCCCCCUCUUAUUCCGGCAUUCUACAAUUCAGUCCACAUAUGAUACCCUCAAUCCAUUUGAUACCAAUGCAUACAUAUGUAGUGUAACUCCUUGCUUGCGAGUACUUUGGAUGAGUACUCACGGUUGCUUUGCUCCCCCCUUUCCCCCUUCCUAUACUUGAUUGCUGCGACCAGACGAUGGAGUCCAGGAGCCAGACGCCACUGUCGAUGACGACUACUACUACCCGGGAGGCGCCUACUACUACGUGCAGCCCGCUAACGACGACCAGGAGUAGUUUAGGAGGAUCCCAGGCAGGAGGCCUGCGCCUCUUUCGAUCUGUAUCCCAGCUUGUGCUAGCCUUCUUAAGGAAAACUUGUUUAACUUAUGUCUGUACUCAGAUAUUGUUGCUUCCGCUGACUCUUCUAUGAUUGAGCUCUUUUAUUCGAGCCCUUGAGGCCCCUGGCUUGUAAUAUGAUGCUUGUAUGACAAACUCAGGGAUCCAAACAAAGAGGAGUAGUACUGUACAUGCUACAGUCUGGACCGUCGCACAUUGUUUUUAUGGCCAUAUCAGCACAUUGUUUUCUACUGCUGAUUCAUCGGGCUACCGUGGUUCGCACUCCUCUGUCGUGGUUCGCACUCCUCUUACGUACUUCGCCGACAUGUGGGAGAGCCAGCAUCCAGGUCGACGUGUCAUGCACCAGAUUAGAGUGCGGAAUGGAAGGGGGGCAUCACCCCGGUCGUACCGCCAGUAAUUCACGACUAUAGUGAGUAGUCAUAACACAAGUCUUUCCAGCAGUAAUGCGCCGUCAAAUCGGACAGCCCGACCUUUCCAGCAGUAAGUUGAAUCCGCUACUCCCUCACCCUCCUCGCCUCUUUGUCAAACCACCUAUGCGAAAACUGCCGCACGUACUGCCCGGGAAAAGCCCCGCCCUCAACUUUUAACUACGUGGAAAUAGUUCGAGCUUGUUCGUUCUAUAUAAAUACUAGUAUUGUAUGUUUAUUCACCCGUGGGGUUGGUCAAUGAAUGGAGGGCCGGGGAGCACAAGUGAACAAUACGAGUACUUCUACUACAUUCGUCCUAGUUUAUGUAACACCCCGGAUGUGACUUUCCCAAUAUGUAUUCCAACUCUUGCCGUUUCCGGCGUUAAGUAAUUUUAUUUUCUCGGGUUUAGGUAUUUGUCUCCGUGUGUUGUUGUCGUUGUCAUGCAUCUCAUAUCAUGUCAUCAUGUGCAUUGCAUUUGCAUACGUGUUCAUCUCAUGCAUCCGAGCAUUUUCCCCGUUGUCCGUUUUGCAUUCCGGCGCUCUGUUCUCCUCCAGUGGUCAUUUCUACCUUUCUUUCGUGUGUGGGGAUUAAACAUUUCCGGAUUGGACCGAGACUUGCCAAGCGGCCUUGGUUUACUACCGGUAGACCUCCUGUCAAGUUUCGUACCAUUUGGACUUCGUUUGAUGCUCCAACGGUUAACCGAGGGACCGAAAAGGCCUCGUGUGUGUUGCAGCCCAACACCCCUCCAAGUUGGCCCAAAACCCACCAAAACCUUCUCCAUCAUCUAGAGCGUUCGAUCACGAUCGCGUGGCCGAAAACCGCACCUCAUUUGGACUCUCCUAGCUCCCUCCACCUCUAUAUAUAGACCCCUCCUCGAAAUUCCCUGAUCUCCUCUCUCCCUAACCCAAAAAAUCAGCUCCGCCGCAAUCGGACACGUCUGGCCGCAACCGGACACGUCCGCCUGCUCCGCCGGACCUAUCAGCAAGCGCCACGUGGGCGCCGAGCCCCACUUCCCAGCCGAGGCCCGCGGGGAGCCCCCGGGCCCAUCCGCCUUCGCCGCCGCCCGCAGGGACGUGCGCCCGGGUCCGUGCCGCCCCGACAAGCCGCCUCCUCGCCGCCGCCUUCUUCCGCGCCGGCCGGCGACCUCCUCGCCUGAGCCCGCCGGCGCCGCUCCGCUCCUCCCACGNNNNNNNNNNNNNNNNNNNNNNNNNNNNNNNNNNNNNNNNNNNNNNNNNNNNNNNNNNNNNNNNNNNNNNNNNNNNNNNNNNNNNNNNNNNNNNNNNNNNNNNNNNNNNNNNNNNNNNNNNNNNNNNNNNNNNNNNNNNNNNNNNNNNNNNNNNNNNNNNNNNNNNNNNNNNNNNNNNNNNNNNNNNNNNNNNNNNNNNNNNNNNNNNNNNNNNNNNNNNNNNNNNNNNNNNNNNNNNNNNNNNNNNNNNNNNNNNNNNNNNNNNNNNNNNNNNNNNNNNNNNNNNNNNNNNNNNNNNNNNNNNNNNNNNNNNNNNNNNNNNNNNNNNNNNNNNNNNNNNNNNNNNNNNNNNNNNNNNNNNNNNNNNNNNNNNNNNNNNNNNNNNNNNNNNNNNNNNNNNNGCCGGCGACCCACGCCGUCCGCGCCCGCCACCGUGCCGGAUUCGCCUCCUCACCGCCACGGCGUCCUCUCCACUGUCCGGCGACCCCCCUCCGGCGAUCCACGACGCUUCCGGCAAGCAAGAGCUCAGAUCCGGUGAACCUCGGGCUGCGUGCAAGGCCGGAUCCAGAUCUGAGUUUUGCCCCCUCGGUUGACUUUUUAUCCCUAACCCUAUCUCAUGUUGCCCUAUUCAUCAUGCUAUAACUUUGCAUCCGUAACUCCGUUUUGGGCAUAUAGCAUAUUAAAAUGUUCGACUCAGAGACUACAUCAUUUCAUUCCAUUGCAUCAUUUUCAUUUGAGUUCAUCUUGAUGCCCGAAAUGCUGCUAGAAUUGUGCUACUUGAGAUAAUUGUCAGAUCUGCUGCUCCAUUUAGAUAUUUGUCAUUUUUGCCAUGAUUAUUGUGUGCAUGAUAUGCCCAUGAGCCCUACAUAUGUUUUGUUAAGGGUUUUGCCAUCUUUCCAGAGGUGCAACUCAUGUAUUUUUGUGAUGUGUGUGGUGACUAGCACAAGCUUGCAAAGUGAGGCACUUGGUAAUGCUGAUUUCAGGGACUUAGCAUUUCCACUAAGUCCUUGAUCUGUUUUUCUCAUGAUGCCAUAUGUUCAUGUUGUUUCCUAGUGAUCCAUGCCUCUUUUGAGGAUGAUCAUUAAGGAUGUUUUCUUAAUUUUGUAGUGCUCUAUCCAUCCAUGUCUUUGUUUGCAAUUAUGGAGCACCCUAGCUUUAGUCAAUCGAGCUCUACUUUUGUCAUUUCGUGAAUCUGAGCAGAUUGUCUACUUGUUAGCGAUUUUGCCGAUGAUGUUGUAGUUGAUCCGUGCAUGCUAUGCUAUUGUUCUUGCCAUGUCUAGCUUGUAUUUUGUGUAUUCUUGAUGGGUGUAUGCUUAGAUUGUCAUGACUUGCUCCGUAGUGAGUGCAUCGAGCUCGUAAACAUGCCUACUUGAUAUCUGUUUCAGCAUGCUCCAGUUUUCACUAAGUCUGUGAGAUGAUUAUGUUUUUGCCAUGUUUACAUGCUUGCAAAUGUAUUUUCUGAUCCCUUUUGGCUCAAGGUCACUAAGGGACUUUUGUUAAGCUGUCUGAGUAGCUCUAUGCCAUGCUUUAUUUUGCCAUGUUCAGGUCCUGUAGCAUGUAGUUUUGUUGCUCUGAAGAGUGCUAUCUGAUCUGAAAUUCCAGACAAGUGUUAAUUUCAGUAAGUCUGAAAUCUGUUUACCAUAUGCAUUUUUGCCAUGCUUGUUUGACCCUGUUAAUGGAUGAAUUAGCCAUAGCUCAGUGCUAGACUUUUGUUAAGCAUCUUGAAAGCAUCCCUGCCAUGUAUUUUGUUGCCAUGUUUGAGUGCUGUAGCAUGUUCAUCUUGUUGCAUUUAGAUGGCUACUUGCUGUAAAUCGCAGAACGUGGUCAUAUUUGAAUUGCUUGCCAUUUCCAAACCGUAACUCCGAUUCCGGCGUUCUUUAUAUCGUUUUCAAGCGAUUUCAUCUCAUCUUUCCAGUAGAAAACUUGGAUUCCCAUGUUGAGGCCGGGUUCAUGCCUCCCUUGUCAAAUCUUGCAUAUGCAUCCCGCAUCGCAUCCCCCAUAGCAUACCAUCCUUGCAUCAUAUUGCUUGAGCUUUGCACGUGGUUGAUUGUGUCCUUGUUGCUUGUUUGUCUUGUUUGGGUAGAGCCGGGAGACGAGUUCGCUUGCUUUCGAGGAUCCAGUCAACUCCGACAACUUUGCAGGCAAGAUGAUCAUACCCUCGAAAUUACUACUAUCUUUGCUUUGCUAGAUGCUCGCUCUUUUGCUAUGCCAAUGCUACGAUGCCUACCACUUGCUUUCAAGCCUCCCAAAUUGCCAUGUCAAACCUCUAACCCACCAUGUCCUAGCAAACUGUUGAUUGGCUAUGUUACCGCUUUGUUCAGCCCCUCUUAUAGCGUUGCUAGUUGCAGGUGACGAUUGGAGACCGUUCCUUGUUGGAACAUUAUUUACUUGUUGGGAUAUCAUUAUAUUGCCAUGUUAUCUUAAUGCAUCUAUAUACUUGGUAAAGGGUGGAAGGCUUGGCCUCUCGCCUAGUGUUUUGUUCCACUCUUGCCGCCCUAGUUUCUGUCAUAUCGGUGUUAUGUUCCCGGAUUUUGCGUUCCUUACGCGGUUGGGUUAUAAUGGGAACCCCUUGAUAGUUCGCCUUGAUUAAAGCUUUUCCAGCAAUGCCCAACCUUGGUUUUACCAUUUGCCACCUAGCCUCUUUUUUCCUUGGGUUUUCGGAGCCCGAAGGUUAUCUUAUUUAAACCCCCCCGGGCCAGUGCUCCUCUGAGUGUUGGUCCAACUCGUCAGCCAUCGGUGGCUACCAGGGGCAACUCUGGGCUGGCGUACCGGAAGUUUAGACAAUCUGAGUGUGCCCUGAGAACGAGAUAUGUGCAGCUCCUAUCGGGAUUUGUCGGCACAUUCGGGCGGUGUUGCUGGUCUUGUUUUAACCUGUCGAAGUGUCUUGAAGAACCGAGGUACCGAGUCUGAUCAGAACGUCUCGGGAGGAGGUCUAUUCCUUCGUUGACCGUGAGAGCUUGUCAUGGGCUAAGUUGGGACUCCCCUGCAGGGAUUUGAACUUUCGAAAGCCGUGCCCGCGGUUAUGGGCAGAUGGGAAUUUGUUAAUGUCCGGUUGUAGAUAACUUGAACCUUAACUUAAUUAAAAUGAAUCAACUGAGUGUGUUACCGUGAUGGCCUCUUCUCGGCGGAGUCCGGGAAGUGGAACGGUGUUGGAGUAAUGCUUGCGCAGGUUGCCCUCUAGUUUCUCGCUCGCGCUUUGAAUCCUCUUCUCGCUCUCUUUUGCAAACAGGAUAUCCACCAUAUUUGCUAGUCGCUUGCUGCAGCUCCAUAUAUUUACCUUGCCUUACCUAUAUGCUUAAAUAGUCUUGAUCGCGGGGGUGCGAGAUUGCUGAGUCCGUGUGGCUCACAGAUUACUAUUACAUCAGAUGCAGGGCCUGAUGAUUCCACUCCAGGUGACGCGCUUGAGCUCAAGUGGGAGUUCGACCAGGACUCUCAACGAUACUAUGUUUCCUUUCCUAUUGAUCAGUAGUGGUGCCCAGUUGGCGGUGAUCGGGACCGUGCCGCAUGUUGGGUUAUCUUUUAUUUUGGCGUCGUAGUCGAGCCAUGAGUGUUUGGAUGAUGUAAUGUUAUUUUUGUACUUGAUUGAUGUGGCGAGUGUAAGCCAACUAUGUUAUCUCCCCUUUUAUUAUCUAUAUAUUACAUGGGAUGUUGUGAAGAUUGCCUAACUUACGAUAUAUGCCUUCAAUGCAAUUAUGCCUCUAAGUCGUGCCUCAACACGUGGGAGAUAUAGUCGCAUCGAGGGUGUUACAAGUUGGUAAUCAGAGCCUUCCCCGACCUUAGGAGCCCCAUUGCUUGAUCGUUAUUAGCGGCCGAGUUGUGUCUAGAAAAAUGUUUUGAGUCAUUUAGAAGUUAUAUAUCGGAGAGUUUAGGAAUUAUUUUUACUUCCCAGUCUCCUCAUCGCUCUGAGGUGUUGUCAUCAUAAUUUUAUCGUUGCAGUUCUGGAAUACCUGAGUCUAGUACGCCAACAUUGAAAAUCUCUUUUAUGCAGUUCGUUGGUGAGAUAACCUCGACGCCACCCAGUACUGGGGCGGGAGUUCGGGAGUAUCGCCAUAACUUGUAUAACAGAUGCUUUUCAAAGGUUGAGGUAGAUGGUUUCUGAAGUUUUUUCUCUGUUAUGUGUUGAAGGAUGGAUACAGCUGGAUGUAGGAUUUGCUAGAUUUGGGUGAGAUAUUAUGCUUCCCUUGUAUCCCCAACACCUGAUUGCAUAACCGAAAAGGUUCGGGAGUUUCAUAGGUGGGAAUUCUUGUAGCUCUAGUUUCUUCUUCCAUGGAUAUUUGGUUUGAGAUUGGGAUUUCUUACCGAGUAUUCGUUCUUGAUCCGUACCUUGUUGAUUCAUUUCUCUACCUAAAUUCUAUGUGGCUUCUCAAUUUGUGGAUAUGUGACCAUUUCAAGAGGAAUGCAUUCGUUCAUUUUGUUCGGAUGUGAAGACUAUAUGUUGCAAUUUUCAUUCUGUUGGAUUCAGCUUCAUUUUAUCUGUCAAUGUGCUAACGGUGGUCAACCUCUUCAGGAUGGCUCCCGCUAAGAUCACCAAUCAGAAUCAGAAUUAGGAUCCGCCACCACCUCCCCCUCCUCCGGAGGCAUGGCAAGCUGUGAUGGCCGCAACCAAUGCAAACACACAGUUGAUCAUGCAAAUUCUUCAAGAGCGCAAUCAAGGCAACCAAGGGAACCAAGGCAACAAUUAGAAUCACUUUGCUACACUUAACCAGUUCCUUGCUAACGGGCCAAAGACUUUCAGCAAUUGUGUUGAGGCAACCGAUGCUGACGAUUGGCUCGUGGAUCUGUGCAAGCAUUUCGAGUGCAGUAACGUCAGGCCUGAGGACUUUGUCAAGUUCGCUUCCUUCCAACUCAAAGAUCAAGCUGCAGAAUGGUUCCAGUAGUACAAGGAUUCCAGAGGUGGAUGUGUGAUCACUUGGGAUGAAUUCCGUCAAGAUUUCAGAGCUCACCAUAUCCCUCAGAGCGUGGUUGAAAGCAAGCGUGAGGAAUUCCGCAACCUGAAGCAAGGCUCUUUGUCUGUCUAUGACUACAACAAGUUGUUUCAGAAGCUCGCCCGCUUUGCCAAGCAGGACGUCCCUGAUGAGAAGAGCAUGAUAUACCAGUUCAGGGGUGGUCUCAGAGAAGAAAUUCAGCUAGCUCUUGUCCUCUUUGAGCCCUUGAGGUACGAUGAGUUCUACAACAUGGCAUUGAAGCAAGAGGCCGCUCAACUGAGGUGUGAUGCUUCCAAGAAGCGAGUCAGAGACACUACUCCUUCUUCCUCUACUCAAGUGGCCAAGCAGCAGAAGUAUUGGCUUCCUCCUCCUCCGUUUCGUCAGCCGUAUCAGCAGAAGAGCAAAGGUGGCAGUGGAUGUUCCCACCCACCCAACCCUGGCUUUCAGAACAAGACUUCGUCUCAAGCUCCAAGAUCGAGUGCUCCGUAUCGCCGUCCGCUUUCAGAGGUCACGUGCAACAAGUGCCAACAGAAGGGUCACUAUGCCAACAAAUGCUUCAACCAGAGGCGUCUUCCUCCUCCUCCUCCUGUGAGAUCGGCAAGUACAGUUGUGGUCAAGCAUAACCCCAAGCAAGCCAAGGUCAACUUGAUGAAUGCAGCUCAGGCAGAGGAUUCGUCAGAUGUCAUCAUGGGUAACCUUCCAGUUAACGAUGUCCCUGCAAAAGUUCUUUUUGACACGGGUGCAUUGCAUUGUUUCAUCUCGAGACCGUUUUCAUCUAAGCAUGGUUUGGCUUUGCAAAUUUUUCCUAGUCCAUUAGCAGUUGCCUCUCCCGGUAGGCGCAUGCAUGCUAACUCCAUGGCUCCGGACGUUACUAUCACCUUGGGCGACUACAAGUUCCUUUCUUCUCCUAUGGUUCUUGGUAACUCGGAUAUUGAUCUUAUUCUCGGAAUGGAUUGGCUUUCUAAGCACAAGGCGCAUCUUGAUUGUGCUGCAAGGCAGAUUCAAUUGACUCAUUUGUCUGAGGAUGUAAUUGUCUUUGCCGCUCAUGAUGAUACUAUCCGUCUGUUUUCUCUCAAUGAGAAGGGUGAACUCGAUGCCAUCUCACAAAUUCCAGUCGUUUGCGAAUAUCAAGACGUCUUUCCAGAAGAGCUUCGAGGAAUGCCUCUGCACCGGCCAGUUGAAUUCGUCAUCGAUCUUGAGCCUGGCACAGAACCUGUGUGCAAGCGUCCUUACAAGCUCGGACCUGAAGAGUUGAAGGAGCUGAAGAAGCAACUAGAUAUUCAAGAGAGAAUGGGUCUCAUCCGGCCUAGUUCUUCUCUGUGGGGUUGUGGUGUUCUUUUUUUGAAGAAGAAGGAUGGAACAGACCGGCUUUGUGUUGAUUACUGUCCAUUGAACAAGAAGACCAUCAAGAACAAAUACCCACUUCCCAACAUCAACGAGCUGUUCGAACAACUCAAAGGCGCCUAAGUAUUCUCCAAGCUUGAUCUCCGUAAGGGUUAUCAUCAGAUUCGAAUCCGUGAACAAGAUAUUCUCAAGACGGCUUUCAGGACAAGCUAUGGGUCAUAUGAAUACACUGUCAUGUCUUUUGGCCUUGUCAACGCUCCUCCGACGUUCUCUCGCAUGAUGAACUUCAUCUUCAACGCCUACACCAAUGACUUCGUUUUGGUCUAUCUCAACGACAUUCUGGUUUUCUCGAAGAACAAGGAAGAUCAUGCCAAGCACUUGCGUUUGGUACUCGAUAAGCUGAGGGAACACCAGUUCUACGCCAAGUUCUCCAAGUGCGAAUUUUGGCUCGAUGAGGUUCUUUAUCUUGGUCAUAUCAUCUCUGCCAAGGGCAUUGCCAUGAAUCUUGAGAAGGUGUCUGCAAUUGCAAAUUGGGAACCUCCUCAGAACGUGAAGCAACUCCAUAGCUUCCUCGGUCUCGCAAGCUAUUGCCGAAGAGUCGUUGAAAACUUUUCUAAGAUCGCAAAGCCUCUCUCAAAUCUUCUCCAGAAGCACGUCAAGUACGUUUGGUCUCCGGAGUGUGACAUUGCUUUCAACACUUUGAAAGAGAAAUUGAUCACUGCUCCAGUUCUGACUCCGCCUGAUGAAUCCAAGCCGUACGAGGUCUUUUGUGAUGCCUCUCUCCAAGGUCUUGGCGCAGUGUUGAUGCAAGAGAAGAAAGUUGUUGCUUAUACCUCUCGCCAGUUGAAGCCUAAUGAGAAGAACUACCCCACUCAUGAUCUCGAGUUGGCGGCAGUUGUGCAUGCUCUUUUGACUUGGAGACAUCUCUUAUUGGGAAGAAAAGUGGACAUUUUCACUGAUCACAAGAGUCUCAAGUACAUUUUCACUCAGCCUAAUCUCAACCUCAGGCAAACUCGAUGGGUCGAAAUGAUUCAAGAGUAUAAUCCGAGUAUCGAGUAUACUCCAGGCAAGGCCAAUGUGAUUGCUGACGCAUUGAGCAGGAAAGCUUAUUGCAACAGUCUGAUUCUCAAGCCUUAUCAACCCGAGCUUUGUGAAGCUUUCCGCAAACUUAAUCUGCAAGUUGUUCCUCAAGGUUUCCUCGCCAACCUUCAAGUCUCUCCUACCUUGGAAGACCAGAUUCGCCAAGCCCGGCUUCUUGAUGCUAUGGUGAAAAAGGUGAAGAUUGGGAUUGCCAAGAGUCAACCCAAGUACAAGUGCUACCGCCUUGAUGACAAGGAUACUCUCUUCUUCGAGGUUCGUAUUGUUGUACCCAAAGGUGACCUUUGUAAAGUGAUCAUGAAUGAGGCUCACAAUUAUCUCCUCUCCAUCCACCCUGGGAGCACGAAGAUGUAUCAGGACCUCAAGCAGGCUUAUUGGUGGACUCGAAUGAAGCACGAGAUCGCUCAAUUCGUGAAUGAAUGUGAUGUCUGCAGAAGAGUGAAGGAAGAACACCAAAGGCCAGCGGGUCUCCUCCAACCUCUUGCCAUUCCAGAAUGGAAGUUUGACCACAUUGAGAUGGACUUCGUGACUGGGUUUCCGAAGUCCAAGCGUGGCAAUGAUGCUAUAUUCGUUGUCAUCGACAAACUCACCAAAGUGGCUCACUUUCUGCCUAUCAAAGAGUCGAUCACUGCAGCUCAAUUGGCGGAACUCUAUACCUCUCGAAUUGUCUCUUUGCACGGUAUUCCACAAGUGAUCUCUUCAGACCGUGGCAGCAUCUUUACGUCCAAGUUUUGGGAUUCUUUUCAGAAGGCCAUGGGCACCAACAUCCGCUUCAGCACAGCUUUCCAUCCUCAAACUAGCGGUCAAGUCGAGCGUGUCAACCGGAUUCUUGAAGAUAUGCUCAGGGCUUGUGUGAUCUCCUUCGGCAUGAAGUGGGAGGAUUGUCUUCCUUAUGCUGAAUUCUCCUACAACAACAGUUUUCAAGCAAGUUCGGGUAAGGCCCCAUUUGAAAUUCUGUAUGGAAGGAAGUGCCGUACCCCUCUCAACUGGUCUGAAACCGGUGAACGUCAGCUUUUGGGUAAUGACUUAAUCACAGAGGCAGAGGAAAUGUGUAAAGUCAUUCGAGAUAACCUCAAAGCAGCCCAUUCCCGCCAGAGGAGCUACUAUGAUAGUAAGCACCGUGAUUUGGCUUUCGAGAUCGGAGAUCAUGUUUACCUCCGCGUCUCUCCAAUGAAAGGUACUCGUCGCUUCGGUAUCAAAGGGAAGCUUGCCCCCAGAUACGUGGGACCUUUCAAGAUUAUCAGCAAGAGAGGUGAUCUCGCCUAUCAACUCGAGCUUCCUUCAAACUUUGCAAAUGUUCAUGAUGUGUUCCAUGUCUCUCAGCUCCGAAAGUGCUUCAAGACUCCUGACCGCACCGACAACUUCAAGGACAUUGAGCUCCAAGAAGAUCUCUCUUAUCGUGAGCACCCAGUUGCUAUUCUUGAAGAGACUGCACGCAAGACUCGCAACAAGUCAAUCAAAUUCCUCAAAGUCAAGUGGUCACACCAUUCUGACCGUGAAGCUACCCGGGAACGCGAAGAUCACCUCCGUUCUGAGUACCCGGUGUUCUUUCAGUCCUAGAUCUCGGGACGAGAUCCUUUCGUAGUGGUGGAGUGUUGUAACACCCCGGAUGUGACUUUCCCAAUAUGUAUUCCAACUCUUGCCGUUUUGGCGUUAAGUUAUUUUAUUUUCUCGGGUUCGGGUCUUUGUCUCCGUGUGUUGUUGUCGUUGUCACGCAUCUCAUAUCAUGUCAUCAUGUGCAUUGCAUUUGCAUACGUGUUCAUCUCAUGCAUCCGAGCAUUUUCCCCGUUGUCCGUUUUGCAUUCCGGCGCUCCGUUCUCCUCCGGUGGUCAUUUCUACCUUUCUUUCGUGUGUGGGGAUUAAACAUUUCCGGAUUGGACCGAGACUUUCCAAGCGGCCUUGGUUUACUACCGGUGGACCGCCUGUCAAGUUUCGUACCAUUUGGACUUCGUUUGAUGCUCCAACGGUUAAUCGAGGGACCGAAAAGGCCUCGUGUGUGUUGCAGCCCAAAACCCCUCCAAGUUGGCCCAAAACCCACCAAAACCUUCUCCAUCAUCUAGAGCGUUCGAUCACGAUCGCGUGGCCGAAAACCGCACCUCAUUUGGACUCUCCUAGCUCCCUCCACCUCUAUAUAUAGACCCCUCCUCGAAAUUCCCUGAUCUCCUCUCUCCCUAACCCUAAAAAUCAGCUCCGCCGCCAUCGGACACGUCCGGCCGCAACCGGACGAGUGCGCCCGCUCUGCCAGACCUAUCAGCAAGCGCCACAUGGGCGCCGAGCCCCACUUCGCCAUCGAGGCCCGCCGAGGCCCGCGGGGAGCCCCCGGGCCCAUCCGCCUUCGCCGCCGCCCGCAGUGACGUGCGCCCGNNNNNNNNNNNNNNNNNNNNNNNNNNNNNNNNNNNNNNNNNNNNNNNNNNNNNNNNNNNNNNNNNNNNNNNNNNNNNNNNNNNNNNNNNNNNNNNNNNNNNNNNNNNNNNNNNNNNNNNNNNNNNNNNNNNNNNNNNNNNNNNNNNNNNNNNNNNNNNNNNNNNNNNNNNNNNNNNNNNNNNNNNNNNNNNNNNNNNNNNNNNNNNNNNNNNNNNNNNNNNNNNNNNNNNNNNNNNNNNNNNNNNNNNNNNNNNNNNNNNNNNNNNNNNNNNNNNNNNNNNNNNNNNNNNNNNNNNNNNNNNNNNNNNNNNNNNNNNNNNNNNNNNNNNNNNNNNNNNNNNNNNNNNNNNNNNNNNNNNNNNNNNNNNNNNNNNNNNNNNNNNNNNNNNNNNNNNNNNNNNNNNNNNNNNNNNNNNNNNNNNNNNNNNNNNNGCCUCCUCACCGCCACGGCGUCCUCUCCACCGUCCGGUGACCCCCCUCCGGCGAUCCACGACGCUUCCGGCGAGCAAGAGCUCGGAUCCAGCGAACCUCGGGCUGCGUGCAAGGCCGGAUCCAGAUCUGAGUUUUGCCCCCUCGGUUGAGUUUUUAUCCCUAACCCUAGCUCAUGUUGCCCUGUUCAUCAUGCUAUAACUUUGCAUCCGUAACUCCGUUUUGGGCAUAUGGCAUAUCAAAAUGUUCGACUCGGAGAGUACAUCGUUUCAUUCCAUUGCAUCAUUUUCAUUUGAGUUCAUCUUGAUGCCCUAAAUGCUGCUAGAAGAGUGCUACUUGAGAUAAUUGUCAGAUCUGCUGCUCCAUUUAGAUAUUUUUCAUUUUUGCCAUGAUUAUUGUGUGCAUGAUAUGCCCAUGAGCCCUACAUAUGUUUUGUUAAGGGUUUUGCCAUCUUUCCAGAGGUGCAACUCAUGUAUUUUUGUGAUGUGUGUGGUGACUAGCACAAGCUUGCAAAGUGAGGCACUUGGUAAUGCUGAUUUCAGGGACUUAGCAUUUCCACUAAGUCCUUGAUCUAUUUUUCUCAUGAUGCCAUAUGUUCAUGUUGUUUCCUAGUGAUCCGUGCCUCUUUUGAGGAUGAUCAGUAAGGAUGUUUUGUUAAUAUUGUAGUGCUCUAUCUAUCCAUGUCUUUGUUUGCAAUUAUGGAGCACCCUAGCUUGAGUCAAUCGAGCUCUACUUUUGUCAUUUCGUCAAUCUGGGAAGAUUGUCUACUUGUUAGCGAUUUUGCCGAUGAUGUUGUAGUUGAUACGUGCAUGCUAUGCUAUUUUUCUUGCCAUGUCUAGCUUGUAUUUUGUGUAUUCUUGAUGGGUGUAUGCUUAGAUUGUCAUGACUUGCUCCGUAGUGAGUGCAUCGAGCUCGUAAACAUGCCUACUUGAUAUCUGUUUCAGCAUGCUCCAGUUUUCACUAAGUCUGUGAGCUGACUAUGUUUUUGCCAUGUUCACAUGCUUGCAAAUGUAUUUUCUGAUCCCUUUUGGCUCAAGGUCACUAAGGGACUUUUGUUAAUCUCUUUGAGUAGCUCUAUGCCAUGCUUUACUUUGCCAUGUUCAGGUCCUAUAGCAUGUAGUUUUGUUGCUCCGAAGAGUGCUAUCUGAUCUGAAAUUCCAGACAAGCUUGAUCUCCAAGUCUGAAAUCUGUUUACCAUAUGCAUUUUUGCCAUGCUUGUUUGACCCUGUUAAUGGAUGAAUUAGCCGUAGCUCAGUGCUAGACUUUUGUUAAGCAUCUUGAAUGCAUACCUGCCAUGUAUUUUGUUGCCAUGUUUGAGUUCUAUAGCAUGUUCAUCUUGUUGCAUUUAGAUGGCUACUUGCUGUAAAUCGCAGAACGUGGUCAUAUUUGAAUUGCUUGCCAUUUCCAAACCGUAACUCCGAUUCCGGCGUUCUUUAUAUCGUUUUCAAGCGAUUUCAUCUCAUCUUUCCAGUGGCACACUUGGAUUCCCAUGUUGAGGCCAGGUUCAUGCCUCCCUUGUCAAAUCUUGCAUAUGCAUCCCGCAUCGCAUCCCGCGUAGCAUACCAUCCUUGCAUCAUAUUGCUUGAGCUUUGCACGUGGUUGAUUGUGUCCUUAUUGCUUGUUUGUCUUGUUUGGGUAGAGCCGGGAGACGAGUUCGCUAACGAGGAUCCCGUUGAGUUUGCUUUCGAGGAUCCAGUCAACUCUGACAACUUUGCAGGCAAGAUGAGCAUACCCUCGAAAUCACUACUAUCUUUGCUUUGCUAGAUGCUCGCUCUUUUGCUAUGCCAAUGCUACGAUGCCUACCACUUGCUUUCAAGCCUCCCAAAUUGCCAUGUCAAACCUCUAACCCACCAUGUCCUAGCAAACCAUUGAUUGGCUAUGUUACUGCUUUGCUCAGCCCCUCUUAUAGCGUUGCUAGUUGCAGGUGAAGAUUGUAGACAGUUCCUUGUUGGAACAUUAUUUACUUGUUGGGAUACCAUUAUAUUGCCAUGUUAUCUUAAUGCAUCUAUAUACUUGGUAAAGGGUGGAAGGAUCGGCCUCUCGCCUAGUGUUUUGUUCCACUCUUGCCGCCCUAGUUUCCGUCAUAUCGGUGUUAUGUUCCCGGAUUUUGCGUUCCUUACGCGGUUGGGUUAUAAUGGGAACCCCUUGAUAGUUCGCCUUGAUUAAAGCUUUUCCAGCAAUGCCCAACCUUGGUUUUACCAUUUGCCACCUAGCCUCUUUUUUCCUUGGGUUUCCGGAGCCCGAGGGUCAUCUUAUUUAAACCCCCCCGGGCCAGUGCUCCUCUGAGUGUUGGUCCAACUCGUCAGCCGCCGGUGGCUACCAGGGGCAACUCUGGGCUAGCCUACCGGAAGUUUAGACAAUCUGAGUGUGCCCUGAGAAUGAGAUAUGUGCAGCUCCUAUCGGGAUUUGUCGGCACAUUCGGGCGGUGUUGUUGGUCUUGUUUUAACCUGUCAAAGUGUCUUGAAGAACCGAGGUACCGAGUCUGAUCGGAACGUCUCGGGAGGAGGUCUAUUCCUUCGUUGACCGUGAGAGCUUGUCAUGGGCUAAGUUGGGACUCCCCUGCAGGGAUUUGAACAUUCGAAAUCCGUGCCCGCGGUUAUGGGCAGAUGGGAAUUUGUUAAUGUCCGGUUGUAGAUAACUUGAACCUUAACUUAAUUAAAAUGAAUCAACUGAGUGUGUUACCAUGAUGGCCUCUUCUCGGCGGAGUCCGGGAAGUGGACACAGUGUUGGAGUAAUGCUUGCGCAGGUUGCCCUCUAGUUUCUCGCUCGCGCUUUGCAUCCUCUUCUCGCUCUCUUUUGCGAACAGGAUAGCCACCAUAUUUGCUAGUCGCUUGCUGCAGCUCCACAUAUUUACCUUGCCUUACCUAUAAUCUUAAAUAGUCUUGAUCGCGAGGGUGCGAGAUUGCUGAGUCCCUGUGGCUCAUAGAUUACUAUUACACCAGAUGCAGGGCCUGAUGAUUCCGCUCCAGGUGACGCGCUUGAGCUCAAGUGGGAGUUCGACGAGGACUCUCAAUGAUACUAUGUUUCCUUUCCUGAUGAUCAGUAGUGGUGCCCAGUUGGCGGUGAUCGGGACCGUGUCGCAUGUUGGGUUAUCUUUUAUUUUGGCGCCGUAGUCGGGCCAUGAGUGUUUGGAUGAUGUAAUGUUAUUUUUGUACUUGAUUGACGUGGCGAGUGUAAGCCAACUAUGUUAUCUCCCCUUUUAUUAUCUAUAUAUUACAUGGGAUGUUGUGAAGAUUGCCUAACUUGCGACAUAUGCCUUCAAUGCGAUUAUGCCUCUAAGUCGUGCCUCGACACGUGGGAGAUAUAGUCGCAUCGAGGGUGUUACAGUUUAUUGGUCCCCAUUGUAUAUUGUGUCAAAUUUUGACUAUAGAUUGAACAAACAAAACGUUCAUGCAUGUUAACAAAAAUUAUAUCAUUGAUAACUAUGUUGAAAUACGAAUCCAACGAUAUAAUUUUUGUUGACAUGCAUUAACAUUUUGUUAGCUAAAUAUUUGGUCAAAAUUUGGCACGAACUACAAAGGUGACCUAUAAACCAGGACGGAGGUAGUAGUAGUAAAUAGAGAGUUUCUUUUCUUUAAUGCCACAUACAUGAAUUGAAACGCUUGUUGUGGAGAUAAAAAGAUAAUCACUCCACUAUAUAUGUACGCUGGGGCCUGAGCGCUUGCUUUACUAGGGGCUCUCUUUAUUCUCUCAUCCUAAGAUCUAAACAAGACAGCGGUAGAGACAUUUUCUCUCUGCUCACCGCUGGUCACAGAUCCGUCCGGAUCCCUUUGGCUGGUGUGUGUAGAGGACUAGGUGCAUUGUUCACGCGGUCAUCACCGGCGAGGGAGGAAACCCACAACUGCCGGAGGGGACCGAUCCUUUGCCCGUGCCGUUCUCUCCGACACAGCGCCGGCUUGGGAGGUCCUCCGACCCUUCUUCCUCCAUGUCAUAUUGUGCGCAGAUCCGACCUGCCGCCGCCGACAUCCCGACGACCCUCAGGUAUAAGUUCUUCAAAAGCGGCCUUGCUCUAUUGCCCCAGCCCCCCACGUGUCUGCAUGUGCAUCUUUUUCGACUCCCAUCAGCUCUUCCAAAGCCAUCUAAUUUUUUAGUAUUAUUAGAGGUAAAGCUACUUCAUGCAUUCGAAUCUAGGACUUGGUUCAAACAACGAAGAAAGGGGGAAAGUUGUAGCAUGAAUCGAGGACUUGCUUCAAAGAGGAAAUAAUAUGGUGAAAGUAGUAGAGACCGGAUACCCAACCGGUCUCUUGGUUGAAAAGGGAAAUAAUGGGAAAACAUAGUACAAACCGGAUAAGGAAUAGAUCUAUUAUUGGUUGAAAAAAGAUAGAAAGUGGCGGCUCGUGGACAAGUCAACAGAGUAUGUCCAGGAUUAGACUUGUUGCCCUCACAUAGUAAAAGGUCUCCAGGAUUAGAAUUGCUUCCCUCACAUAGUAACAGGUCUCCAGGAUUAGAUUUGCUGCCCUCACAUAGUAAAAGGUCUCUAGGAUUAGAAUUGUUGCCCUCACAUUGUAAAAGGUUUCCAGGAUUAGAUUUGCUGCCCUCACAUAGUAAAAGGUCUCCAGGAUUAGAUUUGCCACCCUCACAUAGUAAAAGGUCUCCAGGAUUAGAUUUGCUGCCCUCACAUAGUAAAAGGUCUCCAGGAGUAGAUUUGCUGCCCUCACAGAUCAUGAACAAACUCGGCAUCACCACUUUAUGCCUCCUUGUAGGUAUAUUGUGCUGAUGCGUCCACUAUCGCAUGUCCUUAUACCAACCUUUUGUUGUUGUUAAUGUAAGGGCGCAUGUAAAAUGAAGCGAUCACACUGUUACCUUAGGGACAUGUCUAACCAGUGUUAUUGUUAAUAUAAUGCCUCCAGUGAUAUGAUGCAAUUAAACUGUGUUACAAAUGGUACUCCUGCUGUUUUGCCCAGUAUGAUAAGUAAGUUUCUCCUUUACGCUGCUGAGUGUCCUGGUGUCCCCACGGUCCCAUGCCCUUAAACCAACUCUUUAGCUGCUGUUGAUUUACUGUAUCUGGUAAACAAGCAAUGCCACCAUUAAAGUAAUCCCAUAUUUGACGAAUGUCAUUGUUGAUCGUAAUGCUUCCGGUAACAUGAAGCAUUGCUGACGUUUUAAAAUUUCUACUGUCCUUGCGUGAUUGCCAUGAACAUAAUUUAGAUGCUUCUUUUCAUUUCGUGUAUGUUUCAUAUAUUCUUAUUGAACAACAAUUGUUUACUUUCUAUCUUUUUGUGCAGAUAGGGAUAUCCAUUUCACCUUGUUGCUAUUGUGACCUUUUGGUGAACUGCACAAAACACUUUUUUUGGAAUGAGUGUCUUGUGCAGUUCAACUAAAAUGCCAUGUGGGCAACAUCUCUCAAUUUUGUUGGAACUGCACAAAAUGGUGAUUGGAGUUUCCAAAAUCUCUGUCAAAUUCUGCUGGUAAUCUCAUGCAACAUUUUAUUAGCCUUUGCAAGAUGAGCCGUCACUGUCACCACAAUGGCACUUUAUUUUAGUGGAACUGCACAAAAGGAUUAGCAAAUUAUAGUUGCACCUUACAUGAGCAGGACAACCAACCUUAAUGUUCCUCAAUUUUACUGCAACCACUAAAGAACCCACCAGCUCACGAGAGCAAGUACUUCUUGCUAGCUGAAUGAUACAAUCUUUGCUUCAUUUCAGGUGAACUGCAGAAAAAGGCGCAUGAAUUGAAUCAUGGAAGUCCAAGAAGGCCUCAUCUGAGUGGAGCUGCAGGUUAAGUUCAAGGAGUGCCACAAUUAUAGUAAUCAGGCUCUUCUUAUUUGUGUUGUGCAAACAGUAAUACUCAACUACAGAUGUUGUGACGGUCAAGAGCAUUCGCCAAGUUCUUCGGUUGUAUGACACGGCUAGCAAAGAUGGAUUUAAUCCCGAUAUUCACUUUAUCAAAAGGCUCUAAUGGGUUGGUUUUGAAUCUUGCAAGCUGGGAAUCAAUGAGAUGUGUAGGCAUAUUUGUUGUACUUAUGAUUUGAAUCAUAUUUGUUGGUUAUGAAUUUUGCAAGCUAGGAAUCAAUGAGAUGUGUAGGCAUCUUUGUUGUACUUAUUAUUUGGAUCUUAUUUGUUGGUUCUGAAUCUUGCAAGCUGGGAAGCACGGCAUGAUGAUACAGAGGACAACAACCAUAACAAACAAUUCAAACUUGGUAGUAUUAUCUGUGUGAAUGUGCCAAUACAGACCCGCUCGUGAACCGACGUGUGGCCGAAGUAGGUUUCUUUAUGGAGGCGUUUGAAUGCGUCGAGGGUGCAUCUUCUGUCUAGCAUGCAGCAGGCGAGGGAUGGGUAGUAACUGUUGUCGCCUGUACACACCCAGUUUACUGUUGAAUCCAGUUCCCCAAGAGCUGAAAAACGAACUGAUGCCGCCGCCUACCCACUCGUUCACUCGAAGAGACUCCAAUGGCGAUCCGAGGGGUGAGCCUGCUGGAUAUGGACUUCAGCAAGGAGUUCCCCUUUGAGUUCGUCAUUCAUUCCUAUGGCUACACCAAGUUGAAUGUGAUGUACACCAACAAUCCGGACUCGGUGAAGCCCUGCCUCGCCGAGUUCAAGAAGUACCAACAGGACGAGAAAGCACAAGGUCGCAGGACUUAGACCUUGUGCCCAUCCAUUCGUCUCCUGACAGGGUCUAGCGGAUCGCCGUCGCCCAGGUAUGUGUGCGGGACGAGGUUCUCAUCUACCACUUUUGUAGGGCCAUCAAAGGUUCUGGAGCAUUCGCUCGUUUCAUCGGCAGCGCCGACUGCACCUUCGCUACGGUGGAGAGAAGGAAGAACGCGACGAUUCGGCCAUCUGGUGCAACAAGCUUGUCGACAUCCAGAAGCAAUACAAGAUCAUCGGCAACGGGUAGGAGAAGGACUCUGAUGGGCACAUGGGUACAUCAUACAUGACAUUACAGAAAAGUGCACAAUUUAGUUGGAAAGAAUUACUAAGCCAAAUCAAGCAAACACAUGGCCAGGUGAACGCUAACAUAAGUUCAUACCACAAUCUUGACCAAAUGGCUGCACUUUCAUCUCCAUUGUCGUUGGUUGAACUUAGGUAUCACAUGGAAGAAAUCCAACAACCUAUGAGUUUUCGGAGAAACCGCUUUGGAGGAAAAAGUCUGGAGGAAACAAGUUUCAAGUGAAGCUGAUGCUGUCAGAUUUUACCUCUGAUAUUUCUUUGUGCCACACCCAUAUGGUGGAGAGACGGGGCCAUAGGGGUACAUCACCAGAAGCUCCAUCAAAUUAUCUUUCCAAUGCAAAAACCUCACAUCAUUUGGAGAUGUGAGUCAAAAGUUGUAGUCAUUCUCGUGGAAGGUGUUCAGGCUGUCAAGGCUUCGCGAAUUUCCGAGGAGCUCUCCAACAACUCCCAAAGUUGACUGCUUAUUCCCCCAAGAAAGCCAUGCAAACCUUUUUACUUUUGAAACCAUUUUCACACCUAGCCAAGGGGGGUUGUCCCUGCUAUAAAACCCCAUCUCCCCCAUCCUCUAGAAAACCUUUUGUCAAAACCAUUUAGCUACAAGCUUAUGUAGCAAGACUGCUAGAGAGAUCCGAGAGAUCUUGCUACCUUUGCUCUUGUGAGUUCAUUCGAAUUCACGAGAAGGAGCCUCUGGUUCCCCCUAGUUCGUGCUCUACGGUUCCGGCCGUUUUGUGUGGAUUAGUCCCGGUUUGUGGUUCUGCAAUUGUUCGAACAACGGUGGAGUUCUUGUAGCUUCGGCCAGCCUUACCCAACGUACGGGUUGCAUCCAACCUUGGUAGGUAUAAAGCUAGUUAUCCCGACUGCUUGCAGCGGGUACCCUCCUGAUUCGAUCCUACGAUGUGAAGAUCGGGCCACCCUCGGGCGUGAACUCGUUCAUCGGGUUCCCAUCUAUCAUCUGGCAUCAGAGCUUUCGUUGACACGGUAGGAUUUGUUUUCCAAUUUUAUGUUGCUAUCAUCCCUUUAGAUCGAGUGUUUUUCAUGCUAUAUUUUCUGUCCUAGAAGUCCAAAGCCCCACCAAAAAUAAAUUCAAGCCUUGUUGGUGCUGAGAUCUUGUUGUUGCAUACCUUGCAUGUUCUUCAUCUUUUAGAUCUGCACCAAGUUCAUCUUCAUAAUUGCUUUCAGAUUUGGUUGUUGUGCUUUGGAAAAAGAGAGAAAAAAAGAGUGGUAAAAAAAGAAUCAAAAAUAGAGAGUAAAAAAAGAGUGGAAAAAAGUCAAGAGAGAAAAAGAAAAGUGUUAUGUAAGAUCCAAAAGUUUCAGCUGGAUAGAAAAUUUUCAGAAGCUUGUGUGUUGUGUUUUUUCAAUCUUGGUGCAAAGGUGCAGCAGACCCAUCCACAUAUUUUUCUUGGUUUGCAUCAACUUGAUUUCAGCACAAGCCCCUUUUUGUUUACCCCACCGAGCUCCACCAAAAACCGAAGCUAAUUCUUUGAUCCCUGUCUUUCAAUCGCUUUAACACAUCCGGGAGAAGCACAAUCUAAUGUGAACUCAUAAGAACUUUGGUGAGUAAGAGGUGAGGUUGUGUGAUUCCACAAAAUUAUCCUAUUCCACUUUUGGCCUUACUAACAUGGCAGGAUUUGCAUCGAGUGUUCAUGGACAAAAUCAAGGGGAAAAAGACGCCCCGGUCACACGUGCUGAGUUUCUGGAAUUACGGAACAUUGUUCAAGAAUAUCAAAGGAGGCUUAACGAGCGUCUUCGAGCAAGUGGUGACGGGGUUCGACACCGACUAUACCCUGUUUCUCAUGAAGUGCAACAAAGAGGGCAUGCUCGAGGGCAUGAUACUGUUGCUCGUGGGCAUGUCACUACUACUCAAGAAGUGCGGCAAGGAUGGCACGCUCGAGGGCAAGCUACUUCUGACCUGAGGUGUGUUGCUGCUAUUCAUGAAUCGCAGCAAAGAUGUCAUGGCCGAUGACAGAGUUAUGGCACCCAUCGUCACACCGACGACCCACCGCAAAGCAGGACCAUUGUUGAUAAACCAACUCCGGUGAUUCAUAGCCCAUGUUCAUCUAAGAAGCUCACUCCUGAUGUUCGCAUCUCAGCCACCACCACUGUCCCAAAAUCCAGGAAACAUGUGCCACAAAUUCCAUCUGAGGAAGAGAGCCCACAAUCCAAAAUCCCACAACUUAAGACUGAUAAGAAAAGCAAGUUGAGUGGCUCCACCAAAAGUGAGGAAGAGUGUACACUUUCAAAAAUCCCACCACUUGAGAGUGAAAAGAAAAAUAAAUUGAGUGAUGUCACAAAAUGUGAGGAAGAGUGUCCACUUUCCACAUUUCCAUAUAUUGAGAGUGAUAAGGAAAGUGAGGUGAGUGAGUCCACAAAAUGUGAGGAUCAGAUUGUUCAUCAUGAGAUUAGAGAAAUGCAAGAUCUCCACCUAGAUAUACCACACAUUCAGAGAGAGAGAAUUAAUGAGUUGCGUGAGUCCACAAAAUGCAAGAUCAUUAGAGAGAUAAGCGAUCCACAACCCAAUAUACCACACAAUAAGAGUGAGAGGAUAACUGAGUUAUAUGAGUCCACCAAAUGUGAGGUUGAGAUUUUUCAACAAGAGAAUAGCAAGCUGAGUGAUCCACCACCAUGGGAAAUUAGUAGUCCACCAAAUGAAAAGAGAGAGGAACAUUCAAUAACUAACCUUUCACAAAGUUCUCUUUCUUUGCAAUAUGUGCAGGUGCAAAAGAAAUACCUAUCAGCUCUCUUACAACGAUGGGAGAUUGAGAUCCAAGCACAAAUAUGGAGGACAUGGAUUACCACUACACAAGGUGCGUGUGUGAAGAUUGAUUUUCAGAAAGGCAUUCAAGUACUCAAUGAGGUAAAACAAAAAGGAUCUUCCAUUUUGAUGGACCCCGAGGUAUGCACAUAUGAACUCUUGAAACAUUGGCGAAACGAAAUAAGAGAAAAAUUACUGGGAACAUCCCUUAGCAUGCCAUUAAUCCAUCAAUAUAAUGUUUUCCACCUUGAAGACAAAACAAAGGAGUUGGCAAACUUGAGAUCAACGCAAAAAUGUUCAACUUUUUCUUUCCCUAGUUAUUUUGUAGUGUCCUCGUGCUACAAUUUUGUAGAUCGAGUGAAGUCGAGGAUGACUUUUCUCCAAGAUAGGGAGGAUGAUAUGGACAUACUCAUGGUUGGUUAUAUAUUUGUGCUCCAUGGAAAUGUUUGCUGGAAGGAACUCCUAAGUCGAACAAAACAUCAUGUUGGCAUCGUCCAUAAGAUAGAAAAGUUGAAAACUAAAAAUCUCUAUAUCAUGAAACCUUUGCAUUAUGGUUUGGUAUUUCCAUGCUUUCUUUUGUGUGAUGACCAGGUAGAGUCGAGGACGACUCCUUUUCAAGAGAGGGGGGAUGAUGAGGACAUCUCGAUCAUUGAAACAACACCAAUCAUCCGUGGACAAAUACAUGAUCAUGUGAAACACAAUUCUAAGAGUCGAGGACGACUCUUCAUCAAGGAAGGGAGGAUGAUGGGCACAUGGGUACAUCAUACACGACAUUUCAGAAAAGUGCAAAAUUUAGUUGGAAAGAAUUACUAAGCCGAAUCAAGCAAACACAUGGCCAGGUGAACGCUAACUUAAGUUCAUACCACAAUCUUGACCAAAUGGCUGCACUUUCAUCUCCAUUGUCGUUGGUUGAACUUAGGUAUCACAUGGAAGAAAUCCAACAACCUAUGAGCUUUUGGAGCAACCGCUUUGGAGGAAAAAGUUUGGAGAAAACAAGUUUCAAGUGAAGCUGAUGCUGUCAGAUUUUACCUCUGAUGUUUCUUUGUGCCACACCCAUAUGGUGGAGAGACGGGGCCGUAGGGGUACAUCACCAGAAGCUCCAUCAAAUUAUCUUUCCAAUGCAAAAAACCUCACAUCAUUUGGAGUUAUGAGUCAAAAGUUGUAGUCAUUCUCGUGGAAGGUGUUCAGGCUGUCAAGGCUUCGCGAAUUUUUGAGGAGCUCUCCAACAACUCCCAAAGUUGACUGCUUAUUCCCCCAAGAAAGCCAUGCAAACCUGUUUACUUUUGAAACCAUUUUCACACCUAGCGAAGGGGGUUGUCCCUGCUAUAAACCCCAUAUCCCCCAUCCUCUAGAAAACCUUUUGUCAAAACCAUUGAGCUACAAGGUUAUGCAGCAAGACUGCUAGAGAGAUCCGACAGAUCUUGCUACCUUUGCUCUUGUGAGUUCAUUCGGAUUCGCGAGAAGGAGCCUCUGGUUCCCCCUAGUUCGUGCUCUAUGGUUCCGGCCGUUUUGUGUGGAUUAGUCCUGGUUUGUGGUUCUGCGAUUGUUUGGACAGCGGGUUGGAGUUCUUUUAGCUUCGGCCAGCCUUCCCCAACGUACGAGUUGCAUCCAACCUUGGCAGGUAUAAAGCUAGUUAUCUCAGCUGCUUGCAGCUAGUUAUCCCUCCUGAUUCGAUCCUAUAACGUGAAGAUCGGACCACCCUCGGGCGUGAACUCGUUCAUCGGGUUCCCACCUACCAGACUCCGUGGUUGACCUCGCUGAGACCAUCAUCGACCCCUGAUACACCAACAUGAAAGAAGACAAUGAUACCAAGGACCUGAACAUGUGGGAGGUACCUCUAAAUCUAGCCUACAUAACUUACGCGGCCAAGGACGCAUACGCAUGCUACGACGUGUACAUGCGGAUCUUGCACAUGAGGGCGUGUCUACUUCCCGUAACCGACGAGUACACGGACAGCCGCAACGUCAUGAUCAACCGUGCCAGGAAGGUCUAGACGUUGUACUUUAUCUGUUUAUAAGCACCUUUAUCAUCUGAGUGUUUCAUGCAUUAGCCUAUGUGUUGUAAUUAUCUAUUUUGUCCGAAAUAUUACUUUUAAGAACGCAUUAACCUGUUUGCUUUUUUAGUGGCUAUUUUCUUAUGUAUGUAACUAGUUCACUUGUCCGUUUAAGAAAAACUAGUUCACUCGGCUGUCGUGCUUUGAAUCUCCUUCCAGCCAACAUAUUCCCCUUCUCAGGUGGACCCAGCAGGUCUCGUACACAGACAUAUGGUACCAACCACCUAUCCAUUUGUAGUUCUUUAUUUUGUUCAAUCUUUCAUCCUCUUCCUAUACAGCGGCUGGCCAUCCCUCUACUCCCACACAUUAUCCGGCGGCGGCAGCUCCACCGGCCCACCCUGCACCCGAACAAGUCUACCGUCGUACUCCCCCUCCGCCUGUGUCUUCUCCCGCUCCGGUUCGUUCUGUCCGAGGUCUCGACAUCGUCCUCCGCCUUGGUGCUCUCGCCGCGGCGCCGCCAUCUGUCGUUCCCAACAUGGUCAGCAAAACAAGAGGAAUCGGGAGACAACUCUUCGUCAAGAGGCUGACAGUCCCGGGCCCACCAGGUCCAUGGAAUAGGUUUUGUUGUUUAACAAGGGCACCCCAUGACAUGUUUCAACAUUUUUUGGAUCCAGCAGGUAUCAAGCAGCCGCUGGGCCUCCCAACCUAGCUUGUCUAUAACAUCAGCAUCCCAAGUUAUGUUUGUUUUUUCAAGACGACGCACAGCUCAGUUCUAUUUUUCUAUACGAAUGAAAAACUGAACCUAUGUUUUCUAUAAGAAUGCAAAAACUGAACCUAUAUUUAUAUAUAAUAGAAACAACAUAAGGUUUUGUUAAACCUGUCAUUCGUCCAACCAUUUUAUACACCUUCCCACUUCCUUUAUUUUUCAUUUUCAUUAAUCCUAUAUCUGAAUUUUCUCCCACUUUAUUUUUUGAUGUAAAAUGAGUUUUCUCCCAGUACUUUUCCCUAGAACCAAUUCAACUGUCCCACGUCUAGCGUAAAUAAUAAUAAUACCCCACGUCCUAUUAACUCAUCAAAUUAAAAUGAUAUUUUAUUUUGUAAGUUAAAAGUUCUUACAAAAUAAUAAUAAUAAUAAUAAUAACAAUAAUAAGUGUUUAUAUAUAACUUGGCAAGUUAACUCCUAGUGAUUGCGUACAUAAGCUUGCAAAGAUUUUACUAACCCAUGCAGUAAUAGACAUGCAAUCAUGUGUUUAUGUUUUUAUAAUAUUUCUCUAUCCAGCCCAGCAUGGUAUUUUCACCCAGCCCACCAAAUGGACCAAAAAACAAAUGGACUGGCUGACAUGUGGGCCAGCAGGUUGAAGCCUAACAAGGCGUUGGAUUUACAUCCAACGAUCGACAUUCUUCUUCAAUCUCUCGUCCUAUACCCCCAGCGCUGCUGGGACCACCUGCUCCAGCCUCCGGCGUCCAGCGGAGUUGUUUUGCGCGCCUUAGCGAAAUGCUACCCCGCCGAUGACCAGUCCAUCCCUCCACUCCGCACCUCCUGUUAUUCUCUGCCGAGUGUAGGCCCACCCCACACCUGAACCAGUCAAGUUUCCCACUCCUCUCCGUCUGCGACUCCACUGCCGCGUCUUCCCCAUCUCCGGGUCGUUCCAGUCUGGGGACUCGCCGUCGUCCAUUGCCUCGCUGCACUCGGCGUGGUGUGGUCAACAAACGAGAGUCAUCGGAAGAGGACUAUACUUGGAGAGCCUGACGGCUGGGACCCACGAGGUCCAUGGUCAGUACGCAAGGAAAGUUCCUCAUUAUUAAGUUGUUUCCUCCCCCUGACAGCUGGGACCCACCGGCUGUAUCUUCGCAUGGAAGGAAGUGCCUCCUUGUUAUGCGAAAAAACUAUUCCUCCCGAUGACAGUUGGGACCCGGCAGAUUUGGAGGCUGACUUGUGGGCCUACUAAGCAGACGUGUAUGCAUGGCUUUUUCAACUUAAUCAACAAAUGAUUCUAGCAGCUGGACCGUUGGAUGUUAAUCCAACAGUCGUGCUCCUUCUUCAAGCUCUGUUCUUGCUCCUGUCUCCCGUGGGCGGCAGUGCUCCCGUGCACCUGAACCAGUCAAGUUUCCCACUCCUCUCCAUCUGUUACUCCACUGCCGCGUCUUCCCCAUCUCCGGGUCGUUCCAGUCUGGGGCCUCGUCAUCGUCCAUCGGCCUUGGUGCACUCGGCAUGGUGUGGUCAACAUGGUCAACAACCAAGAGUCAUCGGAAGAUGACUAUACGUGAGAGGCUGACAAAGGGGACGCACAACGCUCAUGGACGCAUGCAUGCAACUGCAUCCUUUUUACCCUGAAUAAUAGUUUUCUCCCCCUGACUGCUGGGACCCACCAGCUACAUCUUCGCACACAAGGAAGUGCGUCCAUAUUAUGGGCAAAAAAAAUGAUCGCUCCCCUAACUAGUGGGACCCACCAGGUACAUCUUCGCACGCAAGGAGGUGCCUGAUAGUCAGGACCCACUUGGUCGAAGCGUACGUAGCAUUGUCAUUCUGGUUGCGAACGUGUACGUACAUACGAUCGGUCUGUUUGUAGGCUGCAGCGAUGAACCGUGGCCGUGUAAGGAAGGGCACGUGUCGUAGUAGAGGCGCACACGUAGCAUGUACAUGUACGUACAGUGGCCAUGUUGCAAGAAAGUAAAUACGGCCACGUACGUACAUACGGGCGGGGUCUCGAAUGCCUACUCGCGCAUAUGUAUGGCCAGGGCUCGUGUACAUGGCUGGGUCGGAAUGGAGAAGCUACGCCGUCGUCGUGUUCAUGGGGAGACAACCGGAUGGGUCGGAACGGAAUGCGUUGUCGUGUUCAUCGGGAGCCAACCGGCUUGGAGGGAACAGCCGAUGGAAAUGAGGCCUGGCGUACCGCUGAACGGAGGAAACAACCUUGUGUUCGACCAGCCAAGGUCGAAACGGGAUCCUGUUCAUCGGGAGGGGUCUGGCGUACCGCAAAACGGAGGAAACGGACUUCUGUUGGACCUCCUACGGUUGAAACGGGGUCCUGUUGACCGGGCGGGGUGUGGCGUACUGCAAAACGGAGGAAACGGACUUGUGUUGGAGCACUACGGUCGAAACGGGGGUCCAAUUCAUCGGGAGGGAUGUGGCGUACCGCAAACCGGGACUCCACGGGAUACUGUUCAUCUUCACCAUCGACCUCCUCCAGCGUCCACGGGCUACUAUUCAUCCACCGUCGACCUCCUCCAGCAUCCACCUGCGACUGUUCAUCCACGGGCUCCUGUUCAUCCAGCCUCCACGGGGUCCUGUUCAACCACCCCUCCACGGGUACUGUUCAUCCAGCCCUCCACCGGCUACUAUUCAUCCAGCCCUCCAACGGCUACUGUUCAACCAGCCCUCCACGGGGUCCUGUUCAUCCAGCCCUCCACAGGGUCCUGUUCAUCCACCGGCUCGUUCGAUCGGGGUACUGUUCAUCCAGCGGCAAUGGCCUCUACUACCAUGGGUUCCUGUUCAUCCAACCCCCACUGGGAACUGUUCAUCCAAACACCCCAACAAUGCUCAAUGUUUAUCCAGAGGCAGCAUCGAUCGGCUUCAGUUAGCAGCAGUACCAAAGGAAUCACUCGGGUUCAGUUAACAGCAAGGGAUCGAUCGAUCGCUCGGGUUCAGUGUAAUGCGUAGCCUGCAAUGCAAUCGCUCGGGUUCAGUUAGAGCCCAAUGCCUCGCUCGGGUUCAGUUAGAGCCCAAUGCCUCGCACACACGCGCGUACGUGUAUGAGAGAAAUGCGCAUCGCUCGGCCCCCGACCACCCACUGUAACCGGGAACUCCCCGAUAUUUUCUGCGCCCUCGCUUCUACCAUGGUUUUUCCCGUCAUGGACGGCCCAAAGAAUGUCAUGCAGCUGCGUCUCCGGCCCACCCAGGACGAAAAGCCCAUUUUCUGUCAUGGUUUUUUGUCAUAAAAGCAGUAACCCACCACAUCUAUGAUGAUACCGUGUUUUGUCACAAUUAUCAUCAUAGAAGUGUCAUAAGUAUGACAGGAAAAAAAUUCGUUCGGCCCAAAAUGUCACGGAUGUGUCUUUUUUGUAGUGUAUAGUGCUAUAUCCAUGGCCCACUCUCAUGUAUUGCGUGAAAGUUGAAAAAGUUUGAGAAUACUAAAGUAUGAAACAAUUGCUUGGCUUGUCAUCGGGGUUGGUGCCUGAUCUGAAUAUUUUGUGUGACGAAGAUGGAGCAUAGCCAAACUAUAUGAUUUUGUAGGGAUGAACUUUCUUUGGCCAUGUUAUUUUGAGAAGACAUGAUUACUUUGUUAGUAUGCUUGAAGUGUUAUUAUUUUUAUGUCAAUAUUAAACUUUUGUGUUGAAACUUUCAGAUCUAAACAUUCAUGCCACAAUAAAUAAAAUUACAUUGAUAAUUAUGUUAGGUAGCAUUCCACAUCAAAAAUUCUGUUUUUUAUCAUUUACCUACUCAAGGACAAGCAGGAAUUAAGCUUGGGGAUGCUUGAUACGUGUCCAACGUAUCCACAAUUUUUUAUUGUUCCAUGAUAUUAUAUUAUCUGUUUUGGAUGUUUUAUGUGCAUUUAUAUGCUAUUUUAUAUGAUUUUUGGGACUAACCUAUUAACCUAGAACCCAGUGCUAGUUUUUGUUUUUUCCUUGUUUUUGAGUUAUACAGAAAAGGAAAACCAAACGGAGUCCAAUUGACAUGCCAAUUUUUGAUAAUUUUGUAUGGACCAAAAGAAGCCCCGGGAGUAAAAUAGUUGGGCCAGAAGAGUCUCGAGCCAUCCACGAGGGUGGAGGGCGCCCCCCUGCAUCGUGGAUGACUCGGAGACCCCCCUGAUGUGAGACCGACGCCAAAAAUUCCUAUAAAUAUAGAAACCCCCCGAAAAGAAACCAAGAUCGGGAGUUCCGCCACCGCAAGCCUCUGUAGCGACCAAAAACCAAUCGGGGCCCUGUUCUGGCACCCUGCCAGAGGGGGGAUCCAUCACCGGUGGCCAUCUUCAUCAUCCAGGCGCUCUCCAUGAUGAGGAGGGAGUAGUUCACCCUCGGGGCCGAGGGUAUGUACCAGUAGCUAUGUGUUUGAUCUCUCUCUCUCUCUCGUGUUCUUGAUAUGGCACGAUCUUGAUGUACCGCGAGCUUUGCUAUUAUAGUUGGAUCUUAUGAUGUUUCACCCCCUCUAUCUCCUUGUGAUGAAUUGUGUUUUCCCUUGAAGUUAUCUUAUCGGAUUGAGUCUUUAAAUAUUUGAGAACACUUGAUGUAUGUCUUGCAUGUGCUUAUAUGUGGUGACAAUGGGAUAUUCACGUGAUCCACUUGAUGUAUGUUUUGGUGAUCAACUUGGGAGUUAUGUGACCUUGUGAACUUAUGCAUAGGGGUUGGCACACGUUUUUGUCUUGACUCUCUGGUAGAAACUUUGGGGCAAUCUUUGAAGUUCUUUGUGUUGGUUGAAUAGAUGAAUCUGAGAUUGUGUGAUGCAUAUCGUAUAAUCAUACCCGUGGAUACUUGAGGUGACAUUGGAGUAUCUAGGUGACAUUAGGGUUUUGGUUGAUUUGUGUCUUAAGGUGUUAUUUUACUACGAACUCUUCGGUUGUUUGUGACACUUAUAGGAAUAGCCCAAUGGAUUGAUCAGAAAGAAUAACUUUGAGGUGGUUCCGUAACCUACAAUAAUCUCUUCGUUUGUUCUCCGCUUUUAGUGACUUUGGAGUGACUCUUUGUUGCAUGUUGAGGGAUAGUUAUAUGAUCCAAUUAUGUUAUUAUUGUUGAGAGAACUUGCACUAAUGAAAGUAUGAACCCUAGGCCUUGUUUCGAAGCAUUGCAAUACCGUUUGUGCUCACUUUUAUCAUAUUAGGUACGUUGCUGUUUUUAUAUUUUUAGAUUACAAAAACCUAUAUCUACCAUCCAUAUUGCACUUGUAUCACCAUCUCUUCGCCGAACUAGUGCACCUAUACAAUUUACCAUUGUAUUGGGUGUGUUGGGGACACAAGAGACUCUUUGCUAUUUGGGUGCAGGGUUGUUUGGGAGAGACCAUCUUCAUCCUACACCUCCCACGGAUUAAUAAACCUUAGGUCAUCCACUUGAAGGAAAUUUGCUACUGUGCUACAAACCUCUGCACUUGGAGGCCCAACAACGUCUACAAGAAGAAGGUUGUGUAGUAGACAUCACUAUGUCACCACUUCGGAGUGCCGAGCUCUUUGCUCCGCCACCUUAGGACUGGCUUGGGGGCUAGGAGAUCGUCCCGCCAUAAGCUCAGGCCGCACAUCGACACCGAGCACAUUAACCAGCUAAAUCGCUUCCAUGCUCAGUUUUUUGCUUGUUCGGUUCGACCAAACAUUAUAUUUGUCUUAAAAACUUAGUUUGUUAACACACAUUUGUUAAAAACACUUCCUUUCCCAUGUUAACUGGGGGCUCUUAAAUUUGUACGAGCUAUUCUAUAAUAAUUGUUUUCUUCCUAGUUGUUGCAAAGUCUUUUUCUACCACUCCAUUCUCGACUUGAGUGUGUGGUCAAUAGCCGGAUAGCCUGUUUUCUCUCUAAUGCCGCUCGAGUUUAGUUCACUAAACUGGGCUAACGAGUAGUACUCCGCCUUUGGGAUAGGAGGUUGCAGCCGUAGGCUGACCCGCUUGAAGUCUUGAGAUCGGAUGUGUCAUAUUAAUGCACGCCACCAGCACGGAAAUAAGACCAAUUUUCGGAUUGGCACCAAAUGACUUGAUUUAGUUCAGGCGUAAAGUUUUUACUGAAGUUUUUUGGUUUUACAAGCCUAUGGCACUUUUAAACUAUUUGUGUGUUUCUAGCAUAGGUCUCGUAGUGCAAUGCCGGACACCUUUAGAGAUUCGGCAAAAACAUUCUCGGAUAUUGAUAUAUAUGCAUCGGUUUCGAAUUGUGUCUUCGGUCAAUAGUUGGGUUGCCCUGCUCCUGUGCUUGCCUCCUAUGUUCCGCUUUGUUCGGCCAGGUGUGCAAAGGGAGAACCACUGCGAUUGUGCUUCCAGCUCGAAUGGUUAAGCACCUCAGUGGAGAAAGCCGAAAACUAGCUGUCAUAAUGGGCGUAAACUGGUCAGCGAUCCGAUGACGGUGUCAAACUAUAGAUUGAUAGCGGUUACCCUGUGUUAAACAAUGGGACUUUCAUAACAUUGGCCGAAGUGUUAAUGGCUAGACUUCGGUCAGUGCCGAACACUAACCGGGGGCUCAUAGCUAGCUUCCCCAGUUUAAAGCUCCUGUGUCUAAGUGAAAGUUAUAAAGCCCGCAUAUCUGAUUGCCUUGUUUCCGCUAACACAACCGCCUUCGGGCACCGAGACAUCGGCGAAGGGUUGUUUUAUUAUUGCGGAAACACCCUGCGUAGCAUCUACAAGGGGGUGGAAGCCGACGAUGGGCCACUUUCAACUGAUAAACAGUCGCAGCAGAGUCAAAAUAAACAUAUCAUUGGUGUUUCUAUUUAAUAUAUGAGGGCUGCCUUCCGUAAUAUCGUUAUAAAGCCAUAAAUAUGCAUCAAUUUGACAUAAGAUUUUGGCCAAGCUGGGUUUCCUGGCUCCUGUGCUUACCCCUACGUCCCCGAUUGUUCAGCUAGGUGGUAAAGGGAGCACCUCUGUGAUUGUUACUACCGGGUCAUCCGAGUUGGUACCUCAAACUGGGUGAAGCCGGAAGCUAGCGAUCUUUAUGGAUAUAAUUGGUCGACAAUGACGGAAGUGAAAAUUUAGGUUCGCUAAAGACCACAUAGUUCAGGAACUUUCCCCAAACUAAAUCCUCAAUAUUUUUAUCCCGCGUUGAUCGGAGGUGAGGUUUCAUGAUCAUGGUCGGCAUGACAACCCAAAGAAAGGAACCGAUAGCGGGACUGUUUUCUUUUGAAGAUGUUUCUUACAUUAAUAUAACAUUCUCUCCGCAUACCUUUGCUUAUAAAACCGUAUGGCCGGAUUGCCUUGUUUGUCGUAAAUAUUUUCCCUCAUAAAGGCUUUAUAAAGUGGGACAAACACUCCCUGGCUACUGGCCAAGGAGGCUGAAGCUGAUGGCCGGUCAACAAAGUUUUGUACAGUACGGAUCCAAACAUUAAUGAUGUAGAGUACUUGGAUACAUAGAAUCAUUACAAAUAAUUUGUGAUUUUACUCCGGAUAUCGAUCCUUAAUUCGGGCACUCGUGCCCACAUUAAGGCUCGGGGGCUACUAGGCUUCGGGCUAAUCAUUUACUAAUAUUAAAGGGCCACAUCGAUCCCCUGAUCUGGUGUUGCCACCCGACCGGUGUCUUGGGGGCUACUGUAUUGCCUAUUCAACACAGCAAAUUCAAAGUGCUCAGUGUUUGGCUUGACCGAACUAUGGGCAAAUGCAUCUUCGGAUAACAAUAGGAACUAUCCAGGACCUAUCCAACAUCAAGCUAAUAUAUUAUGGCGACUUCUCGAGACCCUCUCUCAAGGCCCGUCCGCCGAUCACUAUCUCCUCUAAUGUGCAUCUCGGAUUUUAGGCCGACACACACCUUGAGGGCUACUUGCUAUAUAUCUCGUCAGUAAAUAAAUUGCAUCAAUCAGAAAUAAAAUCCACAAACAAUCAGCCCAAGCCCGAGGUGGUGCAUCACCUAGUAAGAAGUCCGACAUAAAGAUCGGUUGCAAGUGGUUGGCUCCAUAGAGGGCAUCUCCGGCAUUAAGCUCGGUUGAACCCUUUUAUCUUUUUUAAGACUGAGGUAAUUUAUGAUACCUCGGAUACAGUCCGGUGUUGAAGCUCCAAUACAUUCCAGCAUUGGUGCUCGGAAGCGGUCCAACGUUGGUGCUCGGCUGCAAAAGAUACCCUGAAUGCAGUCCGGCGUUGGAACUCGGAUGCAAGAGGACACCGCCGCACGGGAACAACUUCAAACCCGAGGUGUGGCUUAAAAAAUAACAAGGCAUUGAUAAAGGCCCAUAACUUAAAGGGGAUCAUCGGAUACCUGACGUGUAAACUCUUCGAAUUCACUUCGCCAAUCCUCAAGUUCGAAGAUGAGAAGAUUUGUUGAACCAGUUUGCAAGACCGACGACUGAAGAUGAAGAACAAUUUGGAAGAAUCGAGGAUCGUCCACAACUUGAAGACUGGUUCAGGGGGCUACUGACGGUGUCCUGGACUAGGGGGUACUCACCAAGUCGUCUCUCGACCAGCUGGAUCAGGCCGAGGACCCCCACGGAGGUUCACUCAUGGGCCACUUUGGGCAGCCCAUGCCGCAUACAAGGGAGAUCCCACAAGACUUGGCACACAAGAUGAGGACUCUCCUAAACCCUAGGCCUCUAGUGUGUUAUAUAAACCAAGGCCAGGCUAGUCAAUAGAGAACAUCUAAUAUUCAUUAGAACAAUCUCGUGGUAUAUACAUGCACUCUGUACUACACCCCAUAUGAAUACAAUCAAAAGCAGGGCAUAGGGUUUUACCUCCAUCAAGAGGGCCCGAACCUGGAUAAAAUUUCGUGUCCAUGUUACCAUCACUCCAAGACGCCUAGCUUAGGACGCCUACUACAAGAUAUGCCGGAUAUAGAACCGAUAAUGGGGCCACCCAUGACUUAGCCCACAGGGGAGUUGGCCGAAGUGGUCGGGAGAGUGUCAUGGUGGUAGAUCGGUUUUGUUGGAAUGUCAUUGGUCCACAUGUAUGGGAGUGUGAGGCCAUGGGUUCCGUGGUGUGGGUAAAGUGCGCUACCUUUGCAGAGUGUGUUUUUAAUCUAUCGACAGCCGUGCCCGUGGAUAUGGGCCCAGUUCAUAGUCAGUCACACUACGAGCCAACAACAAUAACAAAAUGAAUAAUAAUAAUAAUAAUAAUAAUAAUAAUAAUAAUAAUAAUAACUUGCUUAAUAAUAACCCCGGUUCGAUGAUGAGAAAGAGAUUGGUUGUGAUCGAGAGAGGAUCACAAAGUUAGUUGAUAUUUAUGUGAUCGCGAGAUGAUCACGGAGGUAUCUUGGAUACCGAUGUUGGUAAGUUUAUGCAUGAGAUGGUUACGAGGUAACCGACGAGCAGAGUUAGUUGGUGCAUGAUCAUGUUAACCUGUUGCAUGUAGUAUCAUCAUGUUCAUAUGCUCAUAUUGUUCUAGUUGUAUCAUGUUCAGUUGUGCAUGCCAUGUUGUUCUGUCAGUAUCAUGUUCAUGAAUGCUUUAACCUGCUAAUGCCAUGCUGUUGUUUGUCUUGACUGCUUUUGGUUUAUUGUGAGCUUGCAAGUACAUUCAAUGUACUGACUUGGCAUGUCAUGCCAGUUUGCAGGUCAUGCCUAGUUUUCGUGCUUGUUUGGUGUGGUUCCUGUGUUCGUGAGCUAGGAUAAACGUUCCUAUCAUAGUCCCUAUGGAUUAGAGUCCAUCAUCAUUGUUCGUUGUUCCGCUGCCAAUAGAGGUUCUGCUGCCUUGAGUUGUUAUGCUACUUGCAUAGAGCAAUUGUGGUUGGCGUAGCGUCACCGUGCCAGUGUUAUUCAUUGUAAUAUCGGAGACCUUGUAUUCAUAUUCGUGUUGUAAUAUAGAGUUGGUUUGUUCUAUGCUAAGCAGUGUCGUAUUCCAGAAGACUUCUCCUCGAUCUUUGGGCUGUAAUACGAGGUGUUCCGGUUUCUCUGAGCCGGGGUACCACACGCACCCUCGUGGGCAAGGCAUUCCGCAGCGGGUUCUACUGGCCCAUGACGCUCGAUGAUGCCACUGAGCUGGUGAGAUCCUGUGACGCCUGUCUAUUCCAUGCCAAACAGAUCCACUAGCCCACUCAGAGCCUCCAGACCAUCCCGCUCUCAUGGCCAUUCACAGUCUGGGGGUUAGAUAUCUUGGGCCCAUUCCCCCGAGCGGGCGGCGGCUAGAGCUACCUCUAUGUCACCAUUGACAAGUUCACCAAGUGGGCGGAGGUGGAGCCCGUGCGCACCGGCCCAGCUGGCUCGGCCGUCAAGUUCAUCAAGAACCUCGUGAGCUGCUUUGAGGUCCCCAACUGUAUCAUCACUAACAAUGGCUCUCAGUUCAUGAGAAACCUCUUCAAAACACAUUGUGCUAACCUUGAAAUGUAGAUAUGCUACGCUUCGGUGGCGCACCCACGGAGUAACGGCCAAUCCGAACGCGCCAACAUGGAGGUCCCGAGGGGCCUCAAGGCGAGGAGCUUCAAGAAGAAACUCGAGGCCUACGACAGGGGUUGGCUCGAUGAGCUUCAGUCCAUGCCGUGGUCCAUCUACACCACCGCUACUAAGCCCACCGGCGAGACCCCAUUCUUCCUCGUCUACGGGGCUGAGGAGUUCCUCCCUCAUGAGGUCAAACAUCGCUCCCCGCAGGUCUUAGCAUUUGACGAGGCACGCUAGGAUGCCUCACAGGGGAUGGACCUCGUUCUCGGGGAGGAGGGUCGCCGCCAAGCCUCGCUCCGUGCCACAAGGUACCAGCAGGCGCUAUGGCGGUACCACUACCGUAGCGUCCGCUCCAGGCCCCUCGAGGUGGGUGACCUCGUCCUGAGACGGGUGCUCUCCAGGGAGGGUCUUCACAAGCUCUCCCCUAUGUGGGGGGCCCGUUUAGGGUCGCCCAUGUCUCCAGGCCUGGCACCGCACGCCUGGAGACAUAGGACGGGGUCCCCAUUGAUAACGUCUGGAACAUCCAGCACCUCCAGAAGUUCUACCCUUGACCAGCAAGCGCCAUGCGCCUCUCAAGUCUCCGCUCGUGACACUCUCACAUAAUAAUGAGUGGGGUUGUACACGCCCCGGAGUCUCCUGAGUGCCACCCUUGGGCCUCAUGGGAGAUACCACCCACAUCCUAGUGGAAGCCCCAUGCUCUGUGCUGCUGGAAAGACCAAAAGACUAGUGUAGGUGCCGGAUGCGGCUAUUCUUUUCUUGCUUUCUGUAGCUGAUUUGCCACUUCUUGGAAUGAAAUUUGAAGUUCUCGUGACUUUAUUUGAAAGGGUUGGGAAUUUUUUCUCCUCGCAGCAUUCGCUCUUCCAUAUUUUGCCUUAGGGAGAGUGACAGUUGCCCAUCGCUCUUCCUCGCGCGUCUCCCGCGUGGGGGCUGGGCACGGUGUGUGCGCUUGGGCCCGCCCGCGAACGCACCUCGCCAAAGCCUUGGUGCCCUAGCCUUUGGCAUAUUAAUCCUCGCGCAACUCUCUUGAACGAGCCAACGGGCAUGCACGCCCUCCCGAGUCUAUACCUCCGGGCAUCGCGACACGGCGUACCAGCGGCUACUGGCCCAUGCUCGAGGGCUCACGCAGGGCACGUCACCUCCGAAGGUCCCCUAACCUCGCAGCCAUCGGGUGCCUCCCGAGGCCUAAGGACCUUCGAAUCCUAAUGGAAGAAACCCUUGGUAGGACCUCUCCGGAACGAGGGGCGCGGAGGAGGCCCAAGCUCCAGAGAAGCACGCUAUCAUGGCACGGGAGUCUACCGCAAGCACACUAAGCUAAGUCAUCCCAAUCACGAUCAGCAAGAACCCGUCAAUUUUAGUAGCAACACGGAUGUCAGGAUGCAAUAUAAAAAUGAUAAAAUAACGGCGCAAGCGUCAUGGUCCAUUACAUGCCCCGACAGGGCUUUCCGCUUUUUUGAUGGAGAAAAAAGAAGAAGAAACGAAAGCAGCCCCGCGACCACUGCGGCUCCUAAGACCUGGCUCCAGCGACGCCCACGCUUAGUAGAAAUCCUCCUCCUGCUUCACUGGGUCGCAACGGUGAGGCGGCUCACCGCCCUCCUUGGUCCGAGCUCGGCGGCAUGGCGGCUCGUCGUAAUCACCGUCACUCGUGCUCUCCCCAGAGGAGGAGCCGCCGCUGCUGGAGGCAUCGCGACUGUCGCCAAGGGAAAGCUCACUGCCGGAGAUGCCAUCGCCCCUCCAACCAUCGCAAUUGGAGGGGUGGACAUCGUCGACGUCGUUCGUUGUCGCUCUCCGGGCAGCACCCGAGGCGCCUGCCGUCCUCCCCGAUGACCCUGACAUAGAGGGUCGCAACGCCGUCAUGCCUGAAGUAGCGGGUACACCUCCCCUGCUGGCCGCGUGCGCGGGCCAACGGCUGCCACAUGCGGUUCAGGUACACGCUGCCGGCGAGGGUGACCUCGACCUCCACCCACGAGGCCCUGCUGCAGCAACCAUCGGCUUGCAGCCUGAGGCCGCCAAGUCCCCCGGUCGGCAACACGCCUAUGAAGAAGCAUGGGAGCUGGAACCAGACGCCUAUGGGCCUCUCCACCCACACCACGAGCUUCGAGGACACAUCGGACGAAUGAGAUCGCGAGCGCGGUGGACGACUGGUUUCCACAUGCCUCCCUCCUUGGUCCUGGCCCCCACAGCCGCGGCAGCCUCCACCGCAGGAGGGAGCACCCCCAUGACUGCCGGAGGUGGUACCAGCCUUCAAGGGGGUGCAACCAUGCCCUCAGGGAGCUACCGCUAGCAUCGCGGCAUACUUGUGGGGACGGCCGCGACCCCUCUUGGGCGGUGGCGGGCUUGGUCCCUCCUGCGGGGCCUUUCCCUUCUCGGCGGCAGAGAACCUCCUCACUGGUGCCAUGGAUGCUUUGGCAAGAUGGUGGGACAAAUAAGAAGAAGGAGAAGACAGUGAGGGGAUGAAGAUGGACUAGGGGCUCCGCCCCCUGGCCCCAUUUAUAGCCAGAGGAAGGCUAACCGGUGGCCUCUCACAUUCCAAGUCAUGAUGGCCUUUCUGCAUGCACCAGGCAGGUGUCAAGUCGGGCGGUUGCCGAGGCGGCAUGGGGAAUUGGAGACGCCCAUGUCCCAUCAAGCGCUACGCAUCGACUCGGUCCGCAGGUGAUUGGGGCCCGCAACGCUUCGCCCUUGACCAUUGGCUUCGCUUCGAAGCCAAGUCCGAGCGCGCCUUGGGCCUGGGGGCUACUGUCGGCGUUCAAGCAAAUAGGGUACCCGGACUUGCCUGGCUGCGGCCCACGAUGUAGCUCCAUCGAUGGCCUGGUACGGCCCAUCUACAAGACCAUCAAGACAAGACUCUCGCGAGGGGCCAAGCCUCGCGAGGGGGACAACACUAAGACCUCCGGAGGGAGCGGCCUCUCCAAGCGGCCUCCUAAGGAGCGAAGCUUUCUAUGCACGCGCCCAACCUCAUCAGGUUGUAAUGACGCAAACCAUGAUGACCAGGGCCAGGCGGGCACCAGCGGGCGCAAAGGAGGCAGUUUCCACUUUGGUACUAAGGAAGCAAGCAUAGGCGUGGGUUCCGGAGGACUCAGGCAAAGGUUUCCAUUCCCAUGCAACAAUACCAGGACCGUCAGGACGACAAGACAGAUGUCAUCGCCGAGCCCACCACAGUGUCACGACCACAAGCUUUUCAGGCAAAGACCACCUUUCAUCAGGAUAAGAUGUACUACUUGUCCCCUUUCAAAUUGGCCACUGUGGGAUCCCUUCCCACCUACGUUUUGGGGGAAGAGGACCGAGGCCACUAUAAGUAUAGGUUAGCCACCACCAUAGCGGGGGCGAAACCUCGUCGACUCAUUCCCCCACCAGAGCAGAUCUCGCGAGGUUGUUCAUCCCUUAUACUAGUUCAUCCUCAGCCCCUUGUGAGGCCAAUCCACCACAAAGCAGGAGUAGGGUUUUACACCGCAAGGUAGCCCGAACCUGGGUAAACUAACACACCCAUCUUCUUCCUUGUUCAUCGGGUUAGGCCAUGUGGCGAUGAGCUGGUUGGCUCGAUAGGUUGAGUCCUUCGCACACACCCUAGAGUUCGAACCUUUCUUGGGUCUGCGGAGCCCUGAAUCCGACAGCACUCCCGCACGUUGCAAACGCGGCCGGUGAGCAGACCUAGCAACCUCCAUUACAAAGGAAGUUGCUUUACACGGUCCAAUCUGGCGCGCGCCGCUCAGUCACUAACGUCUAGGAGGCUUUGGCUGAUACUACGACGUCGAGUGCCCAUAACUAUUCCUGCGUGGUGGUUAGUGCGUAUAGGCCAGUGGCCAACUCAGAUCAAAUACCCCAUCUCGUUAAGCAUGUUAUUUGAAGUAACCGCGGGUGCCGAUCAGGGACCAGGCCCACCUGUCUCCUAGGAUGGUCACAACCUGCCCUGUCGCUCUGCCAUAGAGUAACACUCUGGGUCCGUCGGGAACCCAGGCCCACCACUACCUGGCUGGAACCACCUGUCCCUUCAGCCCCCAUAUCCGAACAAUAACAUAAGUAAGUAAUAGUAUAUAGCAUAUACCCGUGAUCACCUCCCGAAGUGAGCAUGGCCCGAUAUUAUAGCAUGGCAGACGGAUAAGUAUGUAAGGCCACUGAUGAUAUUUUAGCAACCUAUACUAAGCAUUUAGGAUUGCAGGUAAAGUAACAAAAGUAGUAACAAGGAAAGGCUAUGCAGCAGAAUAGGUUCAUCCAAAAGUAGUAACAACUACACUACUCUAAUGCAAGCAGUAGAGGGAAAGAGUAGUUGAUAUCGGGAUGACCAAGGAGGGUUUAGUUGCCUGGAAGCUCUAUUGAGAAGGAGGGGUCGUCAACACCGUAGUCGUACUGGGUAGAGCGGCAUCGGUCUGGGUAUCUAACGAGAGAAGAGGGGAAGAAACGAUAAAUAUAAUUCAAGGGACAAAUGCAUUUUUACCCCUAGUUGGUUCCUACCCACGGGUUUUGCCCUUACUUUUCGAGCUUGCUCAGUUUUGCCCUUACUUUUUCCAUCGAGGUCCCUCGGAUGCCCUUUGACUAUUUGACCAAAACUUUAAAAAUUCAUAACUAAAUCAUACAAACUCAGAAAAAUGCAAAUAAGAUAUCAAAAUGUUCAGAUAAACAUUACCUUUAUGGGCAUAUCAUUUGCAUUCAGGACAAAAGCAUUGUUUAAACUACCCGAGGUAAUUAAUAUUAUUAACACUAUUAAAAAUAAAUAGGUAUAAACAAUAUUUUUUUUUCAUGAAUAAAAAUUACAUGCAAAUGUACGUGAUGUUUUCUAAACAUCCUCAUAACUUAUUUGCAGUUUUAUGAGUUUGUAUCAACUUGUUAUGAAUGUUCUAACGACUUUGACCAUUAUUUGGAAACUUCAUAACAAGUUGAUACGAACUCAGGAAAAUGCAAAUAAGGUAUCAGGAUGUUCAAAAGACAUCACCUACAUUUGCAUAUAAUUUUUAUUCAUGAAAAAAAUAUUGUUUAUACCUAUUUAUUUUUAAUAAUGUUAAUAACAUUAAUUACCUCGGGUAGUUUAAACGAUGCUUUUAUCCUGAAUGCAAAUGAUAUGCCCAUAAAGGUAAUGUUUAUGUGAACAUUUUGAUAUCUUAUUUGCAUUUUUCUGAGUUCAUACGAAUUAGUUAUGAAUUUUCAAAGUUUUGGUCAAACGGUCAAAGGGCAUUCGAGGGACCUCGAUGGAAAAAGUAAGGGCAAAACUGAGCAAGCUCGAAAAGUAAGGGCAAAACCCGUGGGUAGGAACCAACUAGGGGUAAAAAUGCAAUUGUCCCAUAAUUCAAAUAGAUGCAUGACGAUGCAUGACGUGACAAUGAGCGGUGCUAGGUGUGCCCUAACGCGGUAGUAGGUGAUACUCACGAAGGGGGAACAUCCGGGAAAGUAUUCUCGAUGUUUGACAUUUUCGGAUAGACGAACCGGAGGGGAUUGUUGCAUGUUCGCUAUGUUAGGGACGUGUGGCAGACAAACGGACUACGUAUUCGGGCUCGUCGUUCUGAGCAACUUUCAUGUACAAAGUAUUUUCAUCCGAGAUACGGUUUAAUUUAUAGCAAUUUAAAAGGAUUUAAUCAUUUUCUGGGACUACUAUUAUUUAAUUAAUUCGAAAAAGAAUUACUGUGUCAUCAUGACAUCAGCGGUCCAAGUUGAUCGUUGACCAGUCAACUGAUGGGUGGGUCCCGCAUGUCAUAGGUUGUUAACUAAUUAAAGUUAGUUAGUUUUAUUAGCAGGUUAAUUAGGUUUAAUUAGAUCUAAUUAGUUAACUAAACAAAAUUGAUUAAGUAAAUUAAUUCUUUAAUUAGUUAAUUAUAUCUUUUUAAUCCUUUUUCUUUGAUGUUCCUGGGGCGGGCCCACAUGUCAUAGGCCGGGGGGCUAACGGGCACGCGGGUACAGGCAUCGCCCGAACAGGCGCAGCGGGCGCGACGGCCGGAGCAGCGCACGGGAGGGGUCGUUGUCGUGGCGAGAGGUGGCACGGGGGGCACGGGGCGAUAGUGGGUCGGCGAGCAACUGCAGCAAGGGCAUGCNNNNNNNNNNNNNNNNNNNNNNNNNNNNNNNNNNNNNNNNNNNNNNNNNNNNNNNNNNNNNNNNNNNNNNNNNNNNNNNNNNNNNNNNNNNNNNNNNNNNNNNNNNNNNNNNNNNNNNNNNNNNNNNNNNNNNNNNNNNNNNNNNNNNNNNNNNNNNNNNNNNNNNNNNNNNNNNNNNNNNNNNNNNNNNNNNNNNNNNNNNNNNNNNNNNNNNNNNNNNNNNNNNNNNNNNNNNNNNNNNNNNNNNNNNNNNNNNNNNNNNNNNNNNNNNNNNNNNNNNNNNNNNNNNNNNNNNNNNNNNNNNNNNNNNNNNNNNNNNNNNNNNNNNNNNNNNNNNNAGGCCAUGGUGGGGUGGAGGAACAACGGCGCGGUAGAGGCAGCAGGGGGGGGGGGCGAGCGCGCGCUGCGGUUGGAUGGGUGCGGCAGUGCGGCAAACGGAGCAGGCGGUGGCAACUUGGAGUGCAACAGCAGUAGUAGCAAAGGGGGCAAGAAGCAACGGCGAUGGACAUGGGCGGCGGUAGCAAGCACGGGUAGUAGCAGGCGAGGUGUAGGGGCGCGGGGAGCGGGGCGGCGCUGCGGGUAUGUGACGCCCCGAGACCGACGCUCCAGAUGCCUUCCAUUUAUCCCGUUGCCAUUGUGUGUGUUUCAACUAUUUGUUGCCAUGAUUGAUGAGUGCCAUUGUCAUAUUUUGCUUCUUGUAUCAUGUUCAUCAUUCGGUUAUAUUGCAUCGCCAUGCCCAUCAUUGUCAUAUUGCAUUUGUGCCCUUGUCAUUGUGCCUUUCAUCAUGCUCAUCAUGUGCAUUUUGAGAUUCACCUUGUUGUUUUACUUGCUCUACGUAUGGUGCUGGUCUUAAACCCCUUUGCUAUAUCCCUCGACCCUAGCCAUGCACCUUCACCUCCUUCUUCUUUCAAUUUGGCUAUAUUCCCAAGUGGCAUUUUUACGGCCAAGAUAAAUGUCCACAUUUAUCCUAUAAAUCUUAAACCAUGCUUUCAACCUCUCUGUCAAGUUUCAGCUCUUUUGGGGUUGAUUUGGUUGGGUUCAAAAAUGACUCAAGUUUGAAUUUAAUUCAAACUUGAAUUAUUUUUCUAUCUAUAAAAAUUUCCAAGUCAAUUUAUUCAAAUCCUGCAUAAUUCCAGGAGUUUAGAUAUAUUCUCACUUCUUUUGAAUUUGUCCUCAAUGUCCCUAGGCUUUUCCCUUUUGAUAGAUGUCUAUUUAUGGGCAGAAUUAAAGGAAAAGAAAAGGAGUCACCUUAUCCGAAGCCACCUGGGCCUUUUCCCCUCCAACCAGCCCCCCUCACUUACCUCUUUUAGCCCAGCGAGGCCACCAAUGCUGAUCCCUCUUGUUCUUCUUCUAGCUCCUGUACCGCAGCUCAUCCAGCAGGUCCAUGUCGACGCUUGCAUUGAUUUGACGGCCGGAGCUGCUCCCUUCACCCUAUAAAUCAUGCACCAACACUAGGGUUCCCUGGUCGCUCCAUUUCCCACCUCCUCCUUCUCCUGCCGCCGCCAGGUGAGACCUCUCCAUGCAAUAGCCGUCGGCAUGGCCGGGAAUAUGCUCAAGCUCAUCCCCCGCUUGUACGCCUUCGUCGUCUGUGUUGCUGCCACGGGGAGAGAGUCGAGGCACUCGACGUUGUCUCCUUCGUCCACGCUCGCGUCCACGAGCCUCGGAUUGAUCUCCCCGAUGACCUCUUCUUCCCCUGCUUCCUCUGCUUCACGGACGCCAAGCCGGAGGCCUCCUCUCGUCGCCGACCUCUCCUUCUUCUUCCUCAGGUCUACCUCGCCGCCGGUUAAAUUCGUCGCGUCCCCGAGCUCGAUCGACUCCUCCGAGCCCCUCUGCGUGAGCAGCCGCACUUCCCUGUACCUUUUUCUCGUUGAUUGCCUCCUCUGUCGCCGGUUGCUUGCAUGCCUGAUAGUUCCUCCACCGUCACUUUGGUCACCGGGAAGGUAGCUAUGCUUCCUCUGUUUCUUCAGCACACACGCAGUGCCUCGUCUGCUACUCACGCGCAUGCACCAAGGCCUGCUGCCCAUCUUCUUGUUCACCAUAGAUCAUUGCCCCGAGCCGAGCUCUUGCUCGUGCCCGCUCGGUCAUACGCAGCCUCGUCAGUUUUCUGCACCCCCGCCGGUGAUCUGCUGCACCUGCAGCCGCUACUUGCUUCCAUCGCCGGCAAGCAUCACCGAGCAUCCAUGGCCGUAGCUUUGGCCAUGCCUCGUCCCAGCUCCUACCCUCGCCCAACCGAGCCAACACCCGCACGCGCGCACCCACACCACAUUCCUGAAAUGCUCGCCGUUGCUCUGCUGCGGUAGUAGCCGCCGCUUCAUUCGCCAUCCUCGCUGGCGACUUCUGUGCAUCCAUGGAGUCCAGAGUCCGCCUCCUUGUUUGCUCUUAAUAUGUUUUGUCGCUCGUAUGCCAACUUCACCAAGCCAGCUCGGCUGGUCAUCCCAGCGGAGCAACAGCAGGAGAUCCUCGGGUCGAUUCCCAGGCACCCAACUUUUUGCCCCGUUCUUCAUUUAUUCUUGCACAGCCAGCCACUUGGGCCGAAUCCUCUUCUGGGCCGCUGCACGCUAAUGCUUCGGGCCCGUGCAUGUUUUUUCUGCCUGUGGAUUUGUUUAAUUUCCAGUGCAUUGCAUAUUUAUAGAAUUGCCAUAGUUUUAUUUUUUCUAUACCUAAAUAUCCAUGCAUCCAAAUGAAACAUGUCAUAUAUGCAUCUUGCUCAGUUUUUCAUGUAGUUUCACUAUUUCCAGCUUUUAUCCAUGUUUAAAAUGUUUAAACUUGUUGUUUGUAUUAAUUUGUUUAAAUGAUAUGCUAAAAUGCUUUAAUUCAUAACUAAAUAACCGUAGCUCCAAAUUUAAUAAACUUUAUAUGUAAAUGGGGUAGAAAAAUGCCUAGUUUAACAUGGUGACUUUACCUUGCAUGUUUAACAAUUCUAAAAUUUGGUUUAGGGCAGAACAUUACCAAAUCUAAUAUAUGCUCAUGAGGAUUUUCCGGAAUUGUUGUCGUUGUUUCCGGCCUCAUUUAAACUUGACUAGAUAGUUAGUUUUAUUAUGGUUCACCUCUUGCCUUGCUAACCAACAUUUAAUUUUGUUGAGUACCUAAACGAGAGAGAACUAAAUAAGUCACGUGAUUUAUAUGCAACGGAGUUGCAUAUUGAGCUCCACUUAACUUGUAGUUUUGUUCGUGCACUUUGCCAUGCCAUGCCUCAUUAAUCCGGACAUGCAUCAUACUUGGUUGUGCAUCAUGCCAUGUUUAUGUGACAAUUGUUUACUAUGUUGCUUGCUUCUUUCUGGGUUGCCUCUCUCGUUAGCUUCGGUUUCGUUCCGGAGUUGUGAGGAUCCGUUCGGCUACGUCCAUUUGUCUUCUUCAUGGACUCGUUCUUCUUCCUUGCGGGAUCUCAGGCAAGAUGACCAUACCCUCGAAAUCACUUCUAUCAUUCCUCCCAUAUUGCCAUGUCAAGCCUCUAACCCACCUUUCCUAGCAAACCGUUGUUUGGCUAUGUUACCGCUUGCUAGCCCCUCUUAUAGCGUUACUAGUUGCAGGUGAAGAUGAAGUUUGUUCCUUGUUGGAACAUGGAUACUGUUGGGAUAUCAUAAUAUCUCUUAUUUUUUAAUUAAUGCACCUAUAUACUUGGUAAAGGGUGGAAGGCUCGGCCUCAUGCCUGGUGUUUUGUUCCACUCUUGCCGCCCUAGUUUCCGUCAUACCGGUGUUAUGUUCCUUGAUUUUGCGUUCCUUACGUGGUUGGGUUAUAAUGGGAACCCCUUAACAGUUCGCUUUGAAUAAAACUCCUCCAGCAAGGCCCAACUUUGGUUUUACCAUUUGCCUCACCACCACCUACUUUUCCCUUGGGUGUGGCGCUCCCGAGGGUCAUCUUUAUUUUAACCCCCCAGGCCAGUGCUCCUCUAAGUGUUGGUCCAAACUAGAGCCCCUUGCAGCGCCACCUCGGGGAAACUUGAGGGUUGGUUUUAGUUGUACGGAUUGCUCAUCUGGUGUGCCCUGAGAACGAGAUAUGUGCAGCUCCUAUCGGAAUUUGUCGGCACAUUCGAGCGGCUUUGCUGGUCUUGUUUUACCAUUGUCGAAAUGUCUUGUAACUGGGAUUUCGAGCCUGAUCGGGUCUUCCUGGGAGAAGGAAUAUCCUUCGUUGACUGUGAGAGCUUGUGAUGGGUUAAGUUGGGACACCCCUGCAGGGUUUUGAACUUUCGAAAGUCGUGCCCGUGGUUAUGGGCAGAUGGGAAUUUGUUAAUGUCCGGUUGUAUAAAACCUAAAGCUAAACUUAAUUAAAAAGCAUCAACCGAGUGUGUAGCCAUGAUGGUCUCUUUCCGGCAGAGUCCGGGAAGUGAACACGGUUCUUGUGUUAUGCUUGAACGUAAGUAGUUUCAGGAUCAUUUCUUGAUCACUUCUAGUUCACGAAUGUUGCAUUGCUUCUCUUCUCGCUCUUAUUUGUGUAUGUUAGCCACCAUAUAUGCUUAGUGCUUGCUGCAACUCCACCUCACUACCCUUUCCUAUCCCAUAAGCUUAAAUAGUCUUGAUCUCGCGGGUGUGAGAUUGAUGAGUCCUCGUGGCUCAUAGAUACUUCCAAACAGUUGCAGGUGCCGACGAUACUAGUGCAGAUACACAACUAAGCUCAAGUGGGAGCUCGAUGAAGAUCUUGUUUGUUGUGUUGUUUCGUUUCCUAUUGAUCAGUAGUGGAGCCCACUUGGGACGAUCGGGGAUCUAGCAUUUGGGGUUGUCUUUCUUUAUUUGGUUUCGUAGUUGGACCUUGAUUGUAUUCUGGAUGAUGUAAUGCUAUAUUUUAUGUAUUGUGUGAAGUGGCGAUUGUAAGCCAACUCUUUAUCCCUUUCUUAUUCAGUACAUGGGAUGUGUAAAGAUUACCCCUCUUGCAACAUGCCUACUAUGUGGUUAUGCCUCUAAGUCGUGCUCCAACACGUGGGAGAUAUAGCCGCAUCGUGGGUGUUACAAGUUGGUAUCAGAGCCUUCCCCGACUUAGGAGCCCCCUGCUUGAUCGAAUCGCUGGCGUUGUUGAGUCUAGAAAAAAUGUUUUGAGUCUUAUAGGAUUAUAUAUAUCGGAGAGUAGGAUUCUUUUUACUCCUCAGUCAAUCUGUCGCUCUGGUGAGGCCUCCUGACGUAGAGUUUUGACUCUUCUCUCCUCAAAUUUCACAAAAAAAAAAUAGGAUCACGCGAGUAUCUUGGAAUCGUUCCGAUGGUUUUGUGACAAGAACAUUGUUCUUGGUGCCUCCUGACAUUUAGGGGUUGUGGCAGUGUCCCGGGGAGUUGAGCUCCGACAUGUUGUCCUCACAAUUUUAUCGUUGCAGUUUUGGAAUACCUGAGUUCGCCGACAUCGAAAAUCUCUUUUAUGCAGUUGUUGGUGAGAUAACCUUGACGCCACCCAGUACUGGGCGGGAGUUUGGGUGUAUUGCCAUAACUCGUAUAACGGAUGCUUUUCAAAGGUUGAGGUAAAUGAUUUCCGAAGGUUUCUUGGUUAUGUGUUGAAGGAAGGAUACAGCUGGAUGUAGGAUUUGUUAGUUUUGGGUGAGAUAUUAUGCUUCCCCUAUAUUCCCAACACCUGAUUGCAUAACCAGAAAGUUUUGGGUGUUUAUAAGUGGGAAUUCAAGUAUAUCGUAGGAUAUCUUUCCAAGGGACACAUGAUACGAUAUGGGAUCUAUCAUAUGUUUGUUUCGGCUUAUUUUGCAAGCCAAUCCUUUGUUUUGUUUUGGUUUGUUGUAUUCGAGUUGCUUCAAAGUGAAAUUUUGAUUCCAUACCUUUCCUAGGCGAUGUUCUCAUACUUCUAUUCAUGAUAAUUCAGAUUGUCAUGUCAAUCCUUUUCAACCGGCGUCUUUCUCUUCAAGAGGAUCCGAUCAUUUCCACAUUCGCAAGAUCACCUCUCAGUUUUUUCCCAACGUUGUUUGUUUCAUUCGUCCCAAAUUGUCUUUAUUUUCCCACCCUCCCACCCUUUUUUCUUCAAGGAUUCAGAUUUCUUAAUCAAGUACCCUUUUAUGGAUGUGAAGUCUCUUCAUUCUUUUCAAUCAAUGUUCUUACCCGGUGGUGCUCUUGAAGAUACUAACGGAGCUUAAGUUCAUCAUUCUUUGUUCUUUUCCUUCUCCGGUUGUUUCAAUGCAAGCUUUCGGUGUCGAUCAUAUCUUUUUCUUUGGUUCACAUGUUUUCCAUGUUGGAAGUCCUUACCGAAGACUCUCUUAUUUAUUCACCUCUCGCUAUUCAAUCAUUCCGGAGUGCUAAAGAUAUCUCGAAAGAUUUGCGUUGCCAUUCUCAAUCGUUUAAUAUAUCUCGAGGUUGUUAUCUUAUUCAAGCCAUUUAAUUCAACCGGUGCAAUCUCUCUUUUCAAGCAAUCUCUUCAAUGGUGUUUCGACAAUUCAUGACGGUGCUUGUGAUAUAAUAGUGAUAUCCCACCAGGGGCCUCAACAAUUCAUGUCUAUUUUAUGGGCCCACACAACUCUAUAAAUAUCCCACCAGAGGCCUCAAGUUGAUAUCACUAUUAUAUCUUGUCUAUUUUACGGGCCCACGUCGCCAUUGGGUGGUAUUAGGAUCUUUUACUCCUUGUUUAUACUCUGGGACUCUGAUCUCUCUUCUAUUCGGGUUAAAUGAAUUUUGCUAAAUCUAACAUUAGGAUCUCAUUAUCACUUUCACCCGGAGAGCCCCUUAUUACUGAUGAUCGUCUGCUGCACGUGAAGACCCUGAAGAUACUCUCCGCUGUUAACCCGAGAACUUGUGUUCAUCGCGUUUGCAAUUCCCCUUCCACCGUCAACCCUUAUGGAUAACUACUUGCAGUUGUUAUUCUUGCAUUCAUCCCCAGUUGGUCUUGCUAUUACAAGAUACCCGGAAAUACUCGUCGUUGUUUCGAUAAUCCUUUGAGCUUACUACCUUGCCGUUCUUUGUCACCUGAAUACCCCUAUGGAUAAUUCUCGCACUUAUCGAGUAUCCGCUCACCCCCCAGUUGUUCAUGUGUUUCACAAUGGUCUUCGAAAUACUAUUCGAUCCUCCAAGAAUCCUUAGUAGCUUAUUGCUCUGCAAUACUUGUCUGCUUGCAUUAUGGAUGCUUUCCAUAUGUCUGGCAAUAUUCGUUAGUAUCCUUACACACCGUAAUUUUGAUACUAUUGAUUCAACAUGAGUGCGAAUGCACGCAAUUAUCAGUUGAUCCUUUUAAAUUAUCUUUCUGGCUCAGACGUCAUUUUUGAACAUGAGCUUGUUCUCGACCAAUUUGUUUGCCCUCAAUUGUACUCUUAGGUCUAUUGAACUUAUCCACCCUUGAUCGGAGCGUCUUCUUCUAAUCCUUCUAUUGGGAAAUAAUAAUUCCUUUGCAUUUGAGCCUUGAAUUAGUCUCAGACGUCAUUUUUGAACAUGAGCUUGUUCUCGACCAAUUUGUUUGCCCUCAAUUGUACUCUUAGGUCUAUUGAACUUAUCCACCCUUGAUCGGAGCGUCUUCUUCUAAUCCUUCUAUUGGGAAAUAAUAAUUCCUUUGCAUUUGAGCCUUGAAUUAGUCAGUUGUUUCUAAAGUCUGAUCUCCUUGCAUUGUUUCUUCCUCUGGUUGAGUACCGAUGCUCACACGAGAUCCCUUGAGGACCACCGGAUCCUUUGUUGGAUUUUAUCCGACAGCGUCCUUCAUAUUCAAUAAGUCUGUGAGCAUUUCCUCGGAUACAUAAUGCCUUUGGUAAAUUGUAUCCUCUGCUUUCUCAAGCAUGCUCUACUAUCGAGCUUGUGUUAUUUAUUCUUGAAAUUUGUGGUAUAUACUCCUAAGAUGCCCCGAUGGUUUGAACCCAUGCCUUCCCCAAAACAGUAUGAACCCGAAAGUUUUCGCGAGUCAUACUCUUCUGUUGCUUCGCCAGAUAAAAUUUAUACACUACAACCUCAUUAAAAGCGAGAAGUAAAAUGAAAGGUUAUGCAUUGAGGAAGUGGGAGUCGACCUUGAGCCUUUGCGUUCAUGCCCAUGGACCCGAUGUCGAACUUUUCAUCGAAGCUUCUUGCAAAUGAUAAUAAUUCCCUUGUUAUAAAUUCGUCCUGUAUCUAUGUUUGGUCCUUUGCAAUCAUGGUUCCGACCAUAUUUUCUCCUUAAUACCAUUUCUCGGACAAGUUGAAGUACUUGUCUUGUGCAGAUCAUUGCACCUGUCCAACCUUUACUUUGAUAUGUCGAGUAUUACACUAUGAUACCUUGAUAAUGUCAUGGUACUACAUAACUUCUUAUGGGUUCUUCAUUAACUAUUAUUUCUCACAGAUUUUUUCUGGGUUCUGGGUUGUCGUCAACCGAGAACACCGAUAUGUGAACUGAUUCCGCAUUCCGGUUCGAUAACCCUAAUUAAUUUUCAUUGCUUACGAGUUUAAUAAUCCUUCAAGUCAUUCCUAGCCUGAUCGGUUAUACCAUUAUUGGGCUAAUUUUUAACUGUGCUACCUGGUCCUUCUUCACGGAGCACAAAUUUCGAUUGUGAGCUAAUAUUACAUCCAUCUUCCUUGUCAUAUCAUUUCUCCUUGAAUAGCAAACUUGAUUUCGAGUUUGUUUCAUACCCAUGGUUCUGAUAACUUUCGCUUCACCCUUCCUUUUGCUUGAUGUCAUCGAUGAUCGAUUAUAUCCUCAUGAAACCCCUUGACAAGUGUGUCGUGAUCAUCAUCAACAUUUUGACCUCUUCCAAGAUAUCAAUUGAAUUCAUGAUGAGAAGUACCAUCCUUGCCCUCGAUGAUUUGUGUUAUCAUCGACCACUUUAUUGCCUUCCAUUCAACACAAACUUGUUCGUGUUUUGUGUUAUACCUUGAGAUCCUUGCUACCCAAUAGUUGUUCUUCUUUACCUUGGAAGUAUUACGAUCUUUUAUGUCAAGAAAGUCAUGAGAAUUUCACCACCUCCUAAGAGAUCUUGAUACAUGUGAUACUUCUUGCCAUAUACGUUCACUCCUUGGUCCCGUGUUGUUUCUAAACCGAAAAACCGACAAUUGAUCUAUGACGUGCGGCUUCAAAACUUCUAGCAACCCUAGUGCUUGUAAGUUAUUGGUCGAUAGUUUCAUUCUAAGUUUAUCGUUUAUUGAAUCAUCAUUCAAACAUUGACCGUGGUACCCAAUCUAGAUUUCAGGGUGCACCUUUCUAUCAUUGUUAAAUUGUGUAUGUGUUCCUUGAGCAUACAUCAUUAUACCAUUUGAUCUUUUGGAAAUCUUGAUGAAUUGUCGCUGAGUUCAUCAGUCACCUCCUCAUCCCCUCCUUGAUUUAAUGAGGAACUCUUGUUUCGGGACUCACUUCCGUGGUUCAUUUCCUAAGAGUCUUACAAUGGCAUCUCGUCAAAUUUGUGUUGCACCUUUUUCUUCUGAGACAUCCUGAGUCUGAGGUAUCCUGACACCAAUCAGAUCUGAAUCUCGGUCAGUUAUGAUGGUUGGAACGUAUUUUCGAGAGUUAUAUCAUUGGUCCUCAUAUGACCUGGUAAGGUGAUGUCAUGCCUAGCACACCUGGCUGGCGGGCCUAUUGUUAUAGUUGCCUUUUUAGCAAGGUUAGCCAUUCUUCCAUGAGGAAAUUGUAAGACUUAUUCUACAAGCCGUUCCUGAAGGGUGCUUUGUGUCUCCAAAGUCUGACCUUCACCUUAUGACCAUGCAUGUCUAUGGCACUCCAAUUUUCAACAAGAACAUUUGAAGCCCAAUGCUAAAUGUUUCCUACUCAAUUAUCCAAACACCGCUAUAUGGGUAAUGUCAUGAAAUUUCUCUCCCCUUACCGAAAGAGUUUUCUACAUCAUAUCCUGUCAUGGAUAUCAUGCUCUGCUUGUCCUUGGGAAGGAUAUACCCUUGAAAUGUGUGUUUAAACACAUUUUCCUUUCCAUUGUUCUGUUUAAUCUGAUAAUCAUAUUUUCCUUUCCAUUGUUUGGUUUAACCUUUCUUGUGAUCUAUAUGAUCUAAGCAGCAAUAUUCUCUUGCUUAUGUAAACACCUCGGUGUACAAUCCUAUCAACAAGACCCAGUUACUAUUGUUGAUGACAUUUCGGUAACCACCGCUGGACGAGAACUUUGCCUAUUGGUCCGCCUCGUUCAACGAGCAAAAAAAUGGUUCUCUUCGUCCCUCGCCCUUGGUACCGACGUUGUUGCCGACAUAAUCGACAUGCUAUCCUCUGACAUGCCUUGUUAUCAUGAAUGUGCAAAAUAUCAUCGCGCUUUCUACUUUUAACCCACAUGGUGGGCCCAUAACCCACAGGUCCCAGGAUCGAAACCUGACUCUCUGGUACCCCCCUUGUUUCCAAGGUUAUUCCUCGUGCGUGGCCUCAUAUGUUAUUCACGAGCCACCUUCCGAGAGAUCAUCAAUUAUGGUAUGAAACACAAUACUCAUUCCCGUUACUCUGAACCCCUUUCACACUCUGUUUCAGGCAUCGAACGAUUGCCUACCUGCUUGAAACUUCUCAUGGUACUUUUUUUACUUUGCUCUCGAUAUCUUCUUAAGUUUCAAUUCGAGAGAUACUUAUGCUUCUUCCCCUGAGUUAACCGUCCGAUGCUCAAUUUUAUUAGAGUCCGUCCUUAUAGAGUUUUCCCCCUCUCAUCCUUUCGUAAGCAUGGUGAAGAUCCUGAAGGAAGAACGACAACUUCAUCAUGAUGCAUUGAUGCAUAGGAAUGGAGACAUCAACGCUAUGGAUCGACCUCUUCGAGAAGAGCAACCAAGACCGAGAAGUUUCGUUAGAAUUUCGUAACCAGACCUUCCCCCGUUUUCCACCUCUUAAAUCUCGGGACGAUAUUUCUUGUAGUGGAGGAGAAUUGUGACGCCCGGAUAAUUAAGCUACAGUAAUUCUCUCCCAAUGAUGCCACGUCACUUCGAUUGUUGGCGCUAAUCUCGUGUUAGUUCAAAAACGAUUCAAAUUCAAAUUCAAAUUCAAAAUCAAACAAACAAUAGAAGUUUUCAAAUAAUAAAACUAAAAUGUUCGGAGUGUGCCAAUUAAUGCCUAGGUAUUUAUGGUGAAGGAACCACGCUUCUACAGGAUGUCUAAAUACUUGAAAAUGAAUUAAAACAGAAGAGAAAAUAAACAAAAGGGAAAAGAAUAAAAACAGAAAA
rnacentral:lncRNA from 1 species